GACAAAUCCCUUGUAUAAAAUGCUUUCAAAUGCUCAAUUGAUCAACAAAAAUUACCAAAAAUAAAAAAGUUAAUUGAUUUCAAAAGAAACAUGGCUGAUAUUGCUAUGCUGGUUGCUGAAGAAUAUGAGAGGAGGGUCAAUAAUUUAAGGAAACUGGCUGCUGAAAGAGAGAUGACUAUCAAGCAAAAUAACAAUGCUGCUCCUGCUACUGCUACUGCUGCUGCUGCUGCUGCUGCUGAUGUUGUUAAUGUUUCAAUCGUGGCUGAUGGGAUCAAGAUCAGAAAAUUUGUCAAGUGGGUAUUGGAGCCUAAGAGCCAGAUUACACUUGCUGCCUUUGAUGGUUUCUUUUCGGCUUGAAGAAAUUAAUUUUUUUUAAAAGAUUACUCGGUGAUUAAUUGUGCUUGUAGAUGAAACCUAAUUACGCAUGAGUUUUCUGUCUUACUUUCUCUGUUUUUUUUUUUCCCCCACUGUACAUAAUGAUCUUGAUCAUGCUAUAAGAAAAUGUCAAGUUUCUCUGUUUGAGUUUCUGAAAUCUCAGGCUUUUCUGUUCAAGAGGUUGAUUACUUGAUGGGGAAUUUUUUUUUUUUUUUUUUUUUCCGGGGGGGCAAGUUAACAUGAUGUUUGCUAGUAUUACUGAUGCAAAAUUCGUAGCAGGAGAAAUUUUUAUCGAUUGUCUUUGAUUACGCUCCAAGUCCAUAAAAACAAAAAUUCUGUGGAACUGAAUCACAUCCAUAAAUAAAUUUGCCCAAAUUUUACCACUUCAGAAUGUAUAGGAUUAUAAAAAAGGCAUCAAUAUUAUGGAUGUGAUUGGACUGUGAAUUGUGCGAUAAAUAUUUGGGAAAGCUAACAAAACUUGAAAACCCCUUUAUAUUUUUCCAGAAUUCGCCUUUUAUUACUGCUUGUCAUAAAGAUUCUGUUCAUUGCAAUUGAUUUUGGACUUGCCAAUUAAUAUCCUAGCACAAUAUGGUAAUUAACUCAUGUGUAUACUAGAAGAGCUCUACAGAAUUUAUAAAUUGAACUGAAUGCCCGAACCUGCUGAAACCUUAAAAUUACUGGAUAUGUGUAAUAUUUCCUACUGCCUAAUCUUUCCUGCAGCUGAAAUUAGCUAUGGCCAAUAAAAGAAUUUUCAUCUACCAUAUAGCCACAGCCCACAAGCCUGGACACUGAUGUCUCUGAAUUCUGGUUCUCUAAUAAAUGUGCAGUCCGCUAGCUUACACCUUGAGGGCUAGUGAGCUGAUCUGCAUGUUAUUUAGUCCCUAUAUUUUAAUAUUAAUAUCUAUUUAGUUCUUGUAUUUUUUAAAUACUUCGAAACAUUUCUGCCGUUAAAGUAUUGAUACUCAUAUGGUUACUUUUUAUUAGUUUUUGGCUUACUUUUAUAAUAUUACCCUUUUAUAAUAAUUUUUUUAUUUGGACAUUAAUAAAAAGAAAAUAAUUAAAUUACCAAUUUCACCCCCAAAAUAAAAGUAAAUUUAUAUUAAUUUUUAAUUAUCAAAAAUUAAAUUAUCAAAAAUUAUAUGCAAACUACCAAGUGUGCAAAUGCCAAAUGGUAAGUAAAUUUAUAUUAAUUUUUAAUUAUCAAAAAUUAAAUUGUCAAAAAUUAUAUGCAAACUACCAAGUGUGCAAAUGCCAAAUGGUACUUACAAAAAAAUUAAUAUAAUUUUUUUUAAUUUUCUAGGGUUAAAUUGGUAAUUUAAUUAUUAUUUUUUUUAUUAAUGUCUAAACAAAAAAAUUAUUAUAAAAUGGUAAUAUUGUAAAAGUAAGCUAAAAAAAAGUAACGGUAGGGGUAUCGAUAUUUUAACGGCAUAGAUGUUUCGAGAUAUUUUAAAAAAUACAGGGAUUAAAUAAACAUUAAUUUUAAAAUAUACGGACUAAAUGAACUUUUACCCUUUAAUUAAUUGCCUGAUCUGCAUCACUCAAGUUCACUUCACCAAAUUGAUAAAUUGAAGUAUGUCAAUUUACGAAGAGGGCUGGUAAGCUGAAAUUUUUAUCACUGUAAAAAAAAUUAAUGAGAAACUAAUUAACUAUGAAUAGUUGCAUUGAUAAACUUUUAGUUUAAUUAAUUGCCUUGAGGGAUAAAAAGCUGGGGACUAAAUUGUUUUUACAAACAUUAAUCUAAUUUUAUGUUUGGUGCAAACAAAAUGAGUUAGGAUAGCAUAUCCUGCCCUGCAUCUUUUUUUUUUUAAAUCAUGGACCCGCGCUUUAAUAAGAUAAAUAUAAAACUUUUUUUCCAUAAAGAUGGAGACCUUAACUAUAAAUUAUAACUUAGCAUAAUGUUAUAUAAAUAUAUAAAUAAACACACAUCUAAUCGCUUCUUAUUGAUAUCACAACAACUUACAUUCUGGGAAAAAAAAAAAAACUAAACCCUCAGGGUAAUAGACAUUAUCACAUCUAAUCACUUCUUACUGGUCUUAUAAAAAAAAAAAUAAAAAUCACUUCUUAUUGGUGAUACAAAAACAUACAUUCGGUAUUACAAAAGCCAAAUUAAUCAUAUAAAGAAGCAGAAAGGCGUGGAGUAAGAAGCACUUCAAGUGGAGCAGCUUUAGCAUAGGUCAAGGAUUUUGCCUCUUCCAUGUCAACUGGUGCAUCUGUUGGGGUUGCAAAAUCAAACCCAUGUAGUAAUGAAGCAAGUAUUAGUGGCAUAACUUGAAAGGCAAACGAAAUUCCAGGACACAUUCUUCUACCACUUCCAAAUGGUAUAAAUUCAAAAUUCUGUCCCUUCAGAUCAACGUCCUUGUAUUUUGUAAGAAAUCUUUCUGGCAGAAAUUUACAAGGCUCCUCCCAAACUCCUGGAUCACGCUGAACCUUCCAAGCAUUAACAAUAAGUUGUGUGCCUGCAGGGACAUGGUAACCACUGAUGGUGCAGUCUUCUAUAGACUGGUGAGGUACUAAAAGUGGCCCAGCGGGGUAUAAACGCAGUGUCUCCUUGAGGAUGACCUGCAAAUAAGCUAAAUUUUUCAUGUCUGAUUCAUUCACUUGUCUAUUUGUACCAACUUGAGCGUCUAGUUCAUUUUGAGCCUUCUUUAGAACAUCGCGGUUGUUGAGAAGUAGGGCGAUAGCCCAUGUCAAUGUUCCUGCAGUAGUGUCUGAAGCUGCUAAGAUUAGAGACUGCAAAAGUGGGAGUCAGCUCGAUUAUACAUAUAAAAUAGCUCUUUGCCAAUUGACAUGUUAUCAAUAAUUUAUGCAUUAGCUGUGCUUAAGUUUUUUUCAGGACAAUACCAGGCAUAUAGCUUUAAUAACAGUGUCAGUGUCAUCGCCAUCAGGAAGCUGCUUUGUUUUGUCAUCAAACAAGGACAGCAUCACAUACAUAAAGUCUUCAUCUCCCUUAACCUCGCUAGAACCUCUUUUGCUCUUAUGCUCAUCCAACCAUCCUUGGAAAACGAGGUCAAAUUCUGUAGCUGUCUUCUUCAUUAAUUUCUCGUAUCCGCCGAUAUCCAGCCAUCUCAGAAACGGUAAAGCGUCAGACACCACAAACUUACCACACAAGUCAAAAAAGUUGGUCGCAUGCUCUUGAAAAUCAGAACUGUCUUGUGAAGUGUAACGUUUUCCUGCAAUUAUUCUCAUGAUAAUAUCAAGUACAAUGCCCUCAAUCCAGUGCUUCAUCUCCACUGAAACCUUAUGUGAACUGCUCCUUUUGCAAUUCUCGAAUAACCCUUUGAUUGAAGCCUUCACUUCAGACUCUCGUACAUGUUUCAGCUUCUGAAGUUGAUUGUUUGAUAAAAGCUCAAUGGUGGCCAUCUUACGAGACUCUCGCCAGUAGUUGCCGUAUGGGCUGGCACCAAUGACCAAAAAAUUGUACCCUAAGAGAUCCAUGGCCAUUGAUCUGGGGCGACUUGCAAAGGCUUUGUCGUUGGUGGUGAAACAUUCUUUAGCAAUUUCCCAAUUGCUGACCACUAAAGCUCGUUUCAAGCCUAUUUUCAUAGUGAAUAUUGGACCGUAUUUAUCAGCCACGUCGCCCAAAAGUCUAUGAGUUGGCUCUUGCCCUCCGAAGAGAUGUAAAUGGCCAAUCAAAGGCCAUGCUCCCGCAGCUACUGGUGCUUGAUGAGGAACUUGUGUCUUUUUUGUUCGCCCAUUUAGUGAAAUCAAGAGUAAAAGUGAGAGAAAUAUUACAAAACCUGAAAUUACUGCAAGAACAGUUGAUUCUAGUGUAAGAAGAAUGGCCAUUUCUAAUUGCUUUUUGCUGGCUCUGGGACUCUGAUCUGAAUGAAGAGGUUACUUCAAAUCAAUGUCUGGUACAUAGAUAAAAUUUAAGAGCAUGUAGCGUAAGGUCUGCAGUCAAAGUUUCGUCUAGUCAAUGAUUAUAAGAUAAUUACAAAAUUGGUAAUAUACCCUUAAACACUUAUUUUAAUAAAAUUUUAUAUAACUAAAAUACUUAUAAAGUAAUUGUACUAUUAAGGACAAGCUUAUAAAUCAAACAAAAUAUAUUUUAAUUUUCCCAAUUUCAUUAAUUUGAGUCUCUGAAUUCUUACAUUUACAAAUAAUUCCCAUACAUAGGGAGAGACUCGUCUAAGAUAUAACAAAAUUCAAACACUUUUACUUUUCCAGUCAGUUUGUUGCUUUGUGAAACCAAGGGAAGCUUCUAAAGUCAUAGAAAAUGCCGGUUUACUACUUUGACCCAUGGCUAACAUAAAAUUUCGAUGACCAAGUCAUUUUAUUUUUCAUUUUCCUAUCCAAUUUCAUGACUCAGGAACCAAAGUCUUGCAUUUUUGUUUUUUUCUGUUAGGUUAUAAAUGUGAAUUAUGAAGGAUAAUUUUUGCUCAUUCUUUGACUGAAUGACUAUCAAACUUUACCCUAUUGUUAACCAUUGAAACAAUGAUGAUAAAUUAAUAUUGAGAAAAAUAAUUAAUUUCAAAUUGAGUUGGUUGGCAUUUCCUUCUCUUGAUGAUGAGAUGAAGAAAUAUAGCCUUUCUUAAUUGAUAUCAAAAUAUUUUAGAGUAAAUUAUUAUUACUAUUAUUAAUUUAAAAAAUAAAAUAAAAGGAAUAUUGGGUCGGAAUCUUGAACUAAAUCUUAUCAUUCAUGUACAAGUACCUAGGGGUAGGCACCAUAAGGUUCGGUUUCUUAAGAAUAGAACUUAAAUCAAAUCAAAUUUUCGAAUUGUACCGAAAUACACUAAAACCUCUAUAUAGUCAUAUUGUUGGGAAUUGAGAAAUUUAUUCCUAUAAAAAUGUUAUAAUUCAAUAGAGGUAUAGUACAAAAAUUAUUGUCUUUGCUUAAUUAUCCCUAAUGCAAGUGAUAUAGAGGUAAAUAAUGUCAUAUAUUAAUAAAUUAAUAAGUGAGUCAAAUUCAAUGUAUAGAUAUUAAUAAAUUAAUUAUUUUGUUGACCAAUUAUUAAGUGUUUAUGCUGACUAAUUACUAAGUGUCUAUGCUAAUUAUUGUCACAAGUAACUUUAGAAAGAUAUUUUGUUCCAUCUUACUUAUUUAAUGUAACAUGGCAUAUAUUUUAUUAAAUAUUAUUACUAUGUAGAGGUAAGUUUAUUAAGACGGAACUUACAAAAAAUAUAACUUAUUAUAAUGUGGAGUUUAUUUUUAAUUAUAAUUGGUCGUAAAUUGGAACCAUAAUUUUUUAUUACUAUGAACAAGUUAUUCUUAUAUAGAAUAUUUCUAUUGGAGGUUCUAUUGUAUUAUGAAAUUCAAUUUAAUUUAAUUCGGUUUAGUUCGGUUCGAACAUUAUAGUUACAGCAAUUUUAUUUUUAUUUUCACUUAUUUUUAUUAGAUUUUACAAUUUUCAUAUGAUUUUACUAGAUUUUAUAAUUUCCACCUGAAUUAACUAGCAACUGUACAUUGAAUGACUACCUAGGCUUCGUUUUAAUUUUUUUUUCCUCCCAAUCAAUUAAAUUGUUAAUUACAUCCAACUAUCAAACCAAGUAACCAACCAUGCACGUCAAAUUAAUCAGAGAAUAACUAAUUGCUAUUAUAAAAUACAAAGCACGUCUUUAGAACAGUGAAAAGAAAAGUCAAAACCUAACAAUUUUGGACAAGUGUUAGUAAAGAAAGCAACUUCAUAAAUACAUAUCUAAGCACCCACCAAUCGAAAGGUAAGAGUCAGGAAGAGCACUUUGAAUUUAUUGCCAGGUGAUUCCAAAUUUCCAAUCUCACGCAUCUAGCACGUGCCAGAAGAGACAGAUAAUAUUCAAAAUUACUAUGCCUGACCCUGACAGCUCGAACCGCGAGUGAGUGACGAGCGGCAGCCGGCGAAGAUGACAUGAAAAAAAUAUGGCCUUUCUUUAGUUGCUCCGUAAAUAUUUUAGAGUAAAUUAUUAUUACUGUGAUUGAUUUAAAAAAAUAAAAUUAAAGGAAUAUUAUUGGAUAUGAAUCUUGAACCAGACCUUAUCAUAUCCACGUAUCUGCCUCGGGUCUUGGGUCCAUUCAUCAAAAUUCUAGAUUCGCUCCAACAUCCAUUUUAAGGCCUAUCUAAUAAAUCCAGUCCAUUUAAUUAAAUUUGGAUUAUGUGUCUCCCUACACAAAAACCGAAAGCUCUAUUAAAAUUAAAACCGUUAACGCAAAUGCUAACAUACGUUAACUCUGAAACUAGUCACCUAAUUAUAGGGUUGGUAAUUUGUUGGUUUGGGCUGGGCUUUCUCAAGCCUAGGCCCAGCCCAUAGAAUUGAUACUUGGUUCAAGCCCUGGAAAAAGCCCAUUCAAUUUGAGCGGAUCUGGGCAGGGCUUGGGCCUUCCAUAAUUUUGUUAAAUAAAUUUUUAAUUAAACUAUAAGUUAACGAAAACACUUAAAUUAAGAUGAUUAUUAUUAUUAAACAAAAAAAUAUUAAUUGCUCCCUUGAAUGGACUUGGCCGGUCACCUCUAAGCAAAUAUUUGUAUUUCUUUUUCUUUAUUCCUUUUUCUUCUCUUUUUAUUAUUUAUUAUUGUAAAUUAAAAUUAUUUAUAUUUUAGAUAUUAAUUACGUUUGUGUAUUGUAAUUUAUGCAGAAGCUCAAGACUCAUGUUUAUUAAAAAGGAUGUUAAUCUGAAACGGAACGAGGGAUUCAACUCUUUCAAUUAAAAAGAAAGUUUUAAUUUAAUUUAAUUUUUUUAAUUUAUAAAUUAAAGUCUGGCCUUUUUGCAAAAGCCCUUAACCAGGGCUAGAGUUGGCAAAACUCCGGGUAUCACAAUGACCGGACCCGACCCUGAUGCAAUAGAUGCCUGGGCCAGGUUGUGCCGUGCUUUAAUCCAGGCACCCAGAUUUUAUAUUUUUUAAUAUUAUAUGUGUAUAUAUUUUUUUUUAUUUUUUAGUAAUUUUAUAAGUUUUAAAUUUAUUUUAAUAAAAUUUGACAUGAAAAUAUGAACUUAAAGUGUUUAAAACUUUAUAUAUGUGUAAUAAAUGAGUCAAAUAAAUAUAAAUAUUUAAAAUAAUAUAUAUUUUAUAAUAUUUUUUAAUAAAAUUCGGGUUUCGGGUUUAUCAAGUGAUACUCAAGACCGGCCCGGCUUCAUACCCGGCCCAAAACGCCCGGAUGCGGUCUGGGUGCGGACCGAACCAGUAUUAUUGCCACCCCUAACAAGGGCACUCAUAAUGGACUUAAAUUUUUGGGCUCAUUUCUAUGAUUUUAUGAUGCGGGCCAAGUCUCAAGCCAGUGGGUUUGGGCCGGCCCAGACUUUUUUGCCAACCCUACCUAAUUAAAUCUCCACUUUCUUCUUUAUACGAUUUUAGAAGGGGGGGAGGGGGGAGGGGGGGGGGGAACACCCAUCUUUCUUCUUCAUUCAAAUAAACUCUCAUAAUCUAUAACCCAUGUAAAUUUAUUUUCUUUGUUUUUUUUCAUUCAAUUCCCUCUUCUCUCAUUUUGUAUUUGAUUUCGGUACUCAGACAAUUAUAAAAAAAAUUAGAUUAAAUAUGAGAAUAAUAGAUAUGAGUUCCAUGUAAAUAAAGUUAUUUAUUUAUUGAAAGUUAUAGUCUUGAUUUUCUUUGACUUUCUCUUCUUUUAUCAUUUUAGUUCUCAAAAGUAUGUAUUAAAGGUGUUUUGUUGUUAAUAACUUAUAAUCUAGAUAAAUUAUAUUAGAUGGCCAAAAUAAUCUCAGAAUGAGAAACGAAACUAGAAGAGAAUCAAAAUUCCAAACGAUGAAAAAAAAAACUAAUUACUUUUGACACUCCUCUAAAUCUCCUUAAAGCCCUCUUUAAACGAAAUUACCUAAAUAACUAAAGAUAAACUAGUUCUUUGUUUUAAUCAAAAUUCAAUUAAAUGCUAAAAUAAUUUUUUCUUUUGAUUAUCUAUAUAUAUAUUACACCCACCACAUUUCAUAAUUUAUAUUUAGAGAAAAAAAUAACUAUACCUACAAAGUUUAGAGAAAUGGUCAUGAAGACCUCUAAAUUUUCAAUAAGGAACACGAAGAUCUUGUUUUACUAUAAUAUCCUUUGAAUAUAGUAAAUAAAAAAAUUUUAACUUUUUUAAUAAAUAUAACAAAUAUAAUAUAAAUAAUUUAAUUUUUCUAGUAGAUUGUAAAAUAAUAAAAUAUUUUUUAAUAUUAAAUAUAUAAAAUGUACAUAUUAUUAUGUCUAUUUUAAUAUUGUAUUUCUAUUUUUGUAAAACAUUGGAGUUAAUUUAAUAGAACCAAAGGGUAUUAUGGUUAGAAGAAGUCUUAAUGUCUCUUAUUGAAGGUUUAGGUUCUUCAUGUUUGUUUCUCUAAACCUUGAGAGUGUAGCUAUAAUUUUCCCUUAUAUUUAUAUUUUAAACAUUAACUGAAGAUUUUUUUUUUCUUUUGUUAAAUCUUUAAAAAUUUAGAAUUAUUUUUAAGUUAAAUUUUAUGACAAGAUGAUUGAUUUUUAUUUUAUAAGUUAGUAUUUUAUAAAUUACACUAAAGUGUGUUAAAAAGCUUCGCUCAUAGUCUUUAUCGUUGCUUGAUAAAUAAAAAUUAGAGUUGGAUCCCUUACCAUCACACACACUUUUUUUUUUAAUUCUUAAUUAAAUAAAUUUAUCUUUUUUAUAUAUAAAAAAGGAAAAAAAGACACCUACCCUCUAAAGUUUGGAAAAAUAGUCACAAAGGCCCCCAAGUUUUUAAUAAGGGCAUCAAGAUCCGCUUCUGACCAUAAUAUACUUUAACUCUAUAAAUUAAAAAAAUUAACCCCAAAAUUUUAUAAUAAAUAGAAACAUAAUAUUCAAAUAAAUAAAUUGAAAUCAAAAUUAUUUUGAAUAUUAUAACUGUUGGGGAAAAAUCAGUUUUUUAAAUUUUUAUAAAACCUUUUGAAGAUCGCUCUCAUAUAAUAUAUAAGAAUUUGUAUUCUAGAAAUCGUACCUUGAAAAUCCGAGUUGGCUUUUUCCGCUGAAGUGAUUUAGGCUCCUAGAUCACGAUCCGCCACCACCACUCCUGUUAGAUCACGAUCCGUCACCACCACGCUUGUUAGAUCACGAACUGUCACCAAUGAUCUUCCAGGUUAUGACUCAGGUUCGAUCUGCACUUGACGUGUGGGCGCCUUUAUCACUACCAAAGCAACUAGCACGAGAAAAUUUUUCUCUCAACAAUAGAGAGAAAAAUCUUAUUCUCUGAUUUGUAUAAAGUGGCUUCCCCCUAUUCUUUUUAGAAAAUAAGCCUUAUAUAUCCCCCUAUUCUUAUUUUCUUUUUCAAUAGGGGACCCACCUUGUAAAAUAACAUAAGGCCCCUUAUACAAAAGCUAAUUAAAUGGAGCCUCCCACUAAAUGAUAUAUUUAGACUUUUGACCUAAAUAGCUAGUUAUCUUACUUAUUAGUCCAGUAGUGGUGCAGUCAAUUAAAUGAGCUAACCCGGGGAUCAUUUGGGAACAUACAAUAGUGGCUACAAUAAUUAGACCUGUAAUUAAACUAGCCCAAUUAUUUAAUUCCAAAUAUACUCCACUAAAAGAUUGGAACUGACUUCCAUAAUUGUAUGCUCGAAUAAUAAUUCGUCCCAAGCCACAUUGAUUUCUUUAUUGCAUAAUCCUUUGUACCACAUCGUUAAUUAAAUUGAUAUCUCAACUGUCCAAUCAAUUUAAUAACAUCUUAUUCCUUGAUCCUUACUGGUUUUCUCUAAUGAUCAUUUUCAACAUACUAAAUAUGUUGACACACUCUGGCCAGAGAAUUCUGUGAUCAAGUGCCGAAAACCCAUCAAGAGAUGUGUUGUACAAAUUCUAUAUUGUUAAUCUAUAACUCCAAUACUCAUAAAUGCUCCCACCAAGAUACCGGGUAAUCUAGACUACAAGUAUGUGUCAUGCCCAUUGGUAACUCAAAUGGAAUAACAAUUACAAUCAUGAAAUCAUAAUUAACUCAAGAUUAAGAUUACAGUAAAAUCAAUGCCUAUGAGAUUUAAUAAGUCUGACAGUUAUUACAAAGUUAAUUAAAUCUCAUAUGUGAUCCUGUUCAAUGUAGUCGUACUACAUCAAUAAAUUCAUACAUGAUUAAGACAAAUCAUUCAAUGAAUUUAUUACAGUUUAUACCUAAAUAAAGUGCCCAACUUUAUUUAUCAACUGCGAACAAAAUUUAUUUAAUCAUAAGAUAACUUGUAUUUAUGUCUUCUGUGAAUCCACAUGGUGAUCACAUAAAUACAUAUAAUAUGAUUAAAUGGACUUUAAUAAAAAUAUUAAUGCAAUUAAGAUAUUUGAAUAAAAUACCUCAUUAAUUUUAUUAAUCAGAAAAAAUGUUUAUUACUUUUAAAUAAACACAUAUGCUUUUAAAGAGCAUAUUUUCCUAACAAUAACAAAUAAUUUUAAUAUUAUUAAUAGGGAGAUAUAUUGUUAAUUAUAAAAUAUAUUAAACCCAAAGAUUUAUUUAGAAUUUCUAUAAUAAAUGUAAAUAUAUUAUUAAAAUAAAUAUAAUAAUUAAAAUUUAAUAUUAUUUUAAAUGAUAAAAAUAACUUAAUAAUAUUAGUCUACUAGAUUGAUUAUAUUAUUUAUAUUAAAUUUGUAUUAAUUAAAAAACUUCAAAGUCAAUUUUCUAAAUACUAAAUUCAAAUGAUAUUAUAGUCAAAAAGAAGUUUUUGGUGUUUUCCUUUUAAAAAUUUAGGUGUCUUUGUGACUAUUUUCUCAAAUUUUGUGACUGUAGGUGUCUUUUUUCUUACAAAAAUUGAAUUUGUUUUCAUUCUUUCUCUAGGGUGUAGCAUGGCAUAGAGCACAUGUGCAUUCACCAAUGGAAGCACGAUGAAGAACUCAACACUAGGUUGAAUUGCUUUUGUGUUGAAAAUAGAAGUUAUUAUAAUAAAAUUUUCAAAUCUUUGAAGUUGAAAGCAUUUAUAAUGGAAACUCUUUUACCAUUUAUGAAUGGACUUAAUUGAGGAGAAAAUAAGCGGUAACAAGAGUUUGUGUUAAAAUGGAGUAAGCCAGUAAGAAGAAUACAUUUUGUAUUACUAAGAAUUGGAAAAAUAGAUAAGGAAAAAAAAAGACUGUUGAUAUCACAAGACGCUUGAACAAUACAAAAAAAAAUUGUAAGAGUGGGGUUAUAUAAAUAUGAAUUUUAAUUAAGAGGAGUCAUAAGAAAUUUAUAUUCUUUAAAAUAUUUUAAUAAGGUAAAUUAAAAAAAAAAGAUUUAAAAGGUUUUUAGAGAGUGCCAAUAGUCCAACUCCAAAAAUUAAUAGCUUCAAAUUAAUUAAAAGUCUCAAUCUUAGAUGAACUCAUUGUUUUCAUCAUCAAAAUCGUUCAAUUAAUAUUAGUGUCGUUUCUUAAUCCAAUUAAAAUUCUUGCUUCAAAGAAGAGAUCGAUGGUCCAAAGUUGUAUUAAAUAAUUUUGGCUUUGAACUUAGCAUGGAAGAGAAUUAAUCAAGUUGUGUGAAUAAAAUAUGGUCUUGGCUCCUUCAAGGCUCGUGUAUGUGUCACAUACAUCUAUUGUUAACUUUUUUUUAUCAAUUAAUUAAUUGAUUAAUUAAGGCUUACGUGUCACACGCUACUCCCCGUUUAAACAUUUACGUAGUCUUUUUGAUUAAUUGAUCAAUUCAGAAGUCCUUUCCAAUUUAUUCAAGUGAAAUGGCUAGUAAGGCUUACAUUUACAAUUUUAGCAUUUUUUAUUUAUACAAGUCAAUUUAUUUUAUUAAUUGAUUAAUUGAGAAUGUGAAUUGUUUGAAUGCUUGAGGUGGAUAACAUGUAAGAACAGUUCUAGUCGACAAAAUUUGAACCGUCAAUAGAGGGGGCUUUGCAAAUUAGUAUUAAAAUCAAACUAGUAUAUGUUUUUUUUUUUUUUUGAUUUAAUGUAGCAAGAUAUAGGGUACGUUAGGGAUUGAGGUUAGACAGCUGUACUUUAAAAGAUACAGCAUUAAAAUAUUUGGUAAACACUACCUACUGUACCUUAGAGUUAUGUUAAUAUGAUUUUUUUACUUAUAUAAUAGAAAAUAUAUUAUAUUUUUAAUAAUUUUAUCAAAAUUAUUAUUUAAAAUUUAUAUUUAUUAUUUAUUAUUAAUUUUUUUCAUAAUUACAACUUUUUUUUAAGCUACAACACCUCAAACCAUAGUGAAUAGACUCGUACUGGUUUCGGCAACUGAAAUCGAUUACUCAGAUAGCCCAUAGAUUUAUUGACAUUUUCCUCUUAACAGAAAUAAAACGCGUGCAUAUCUUUGAAUUAGCUUGUUCAAUUCAAUUAAUGUUGACGACAGUGAAUGGGAUCUCGGUUGGUGGAAUUGAUUUUAUUCAAACUGAAUUAAUUAAAGUGGCCUUAUUUUUUGGUUGCAUCGAAUAAGUAUAAAAUUAAGGUGGCCAUCUCUUUGAGACAAAAGAGAGCCUCUUGGAAGCACAGCAUUCCCAAACUGUAUUGUUUUAAUUUAUAAGCCGAAAUUCAAUCAAACUCACUCUUAUUUAAAUAAGAGUUUAUUUAAAUUGGGGAUUUGUAGUUAAUGCCCACAUCGAAUUGGGUUUUGUAACUCAAAAUUGGGGAGUUUUCGAUCCAUGCCCUUAUCUGGGAUUAUCAAUACAAAAUUUGGGAAAAAGAUACAACAUACAUUCCAAAUUUUAAUUUUUUAAACUUAUGCCACAAAAGUGUAUAUUUUGGACAAUUUGAUUUUUUUUUUGUUAUCGGAUAAAAUAUAGUCAAAUUAAAUUAUGUUUAAACAACAUUAGUGAUCAAUUAUGGUCAAGAGACUUAUGUAAAGAAUUGGAUAAAAUUAAUUAUAUUGCUAAACUUUCUCUUUAUUUUAAAUUUUGAACAAUAAUAUGAUCUUUUAUAAAUUAUUUCUUGAUAUAGUGUGGAUUUACAUAUAUUGUAGCUCUCUACCCUUAUUUAAUAAUCCAUUUAUUAUUAAUUACCUGAAAUGCCCUUUUUAAGUUUAUGAAAUUUUUAAAACACAAAGGUUAUCUACUCUUUUGUUGUGUUUACUUUCUGGAGUGGGAGUGAGAAAUAUAGAUUUCUUCACUCUAAUAUUUACUUUAACAUUUUAAGAGAGAAUUGGGAAUCCCACUUCGUGGGCUCUACUUAUUUUUAGAGUGGGCAGUGGGAGUGGGACUCCCACCUCUUCCUUUUCUACCCUCCUUUUAUUAAAUUUAAUAUUUUAUAUUUAAUAAAAUAAAAUAAAUAAUAAUAUUAUAUUUAUUUAAUAUUAAUAAUUAAUAAUAAUAAAUAGUUUAUUCUAAGAAAAUAUUAAUUUUGUACUAAAUAAUAUUAUAUUAUUAUUUUAUAUAAUAAUAAAUUUAAUAUAAUUAUAUAAAAUAAAAUAAAAUAAAAUAAUGUUUCAUUUCAUAUUUACCCUCCUUUUAUUAAAUUUACUAUAAUUAUAUUAAUAAAAUAAAAUAAAUAAUAUUAUAUUUUUAAAUAAUAAUAUUAUAUUUAACUAAAUAAUAAUUUAGUUUGAUUCUAAGUGAAAAUUACUUAAAAAUAAUAUUAUUAUAUUAAUAGAGAAUUAAUAAUAUUACUAUAUACUAUCUUUAUUUGAAAAUAUAAUAUUAUUAUAUUUAUUUAAAAAUAAUAUUAUUAUAUUUAUUUAAAAAUAAUAUUAUUAUAUUUAUUUAAAAAUAAUAUUAUUAUAUUUAUUUAAAAAUAAUAGUAAUAUAUUUAUUUAAUAUUAAUAAAUAAUAAUAAUAAAUAGUUUAUUUUAAGAAAAUAUUAAUUUCGUAUUAUGUUCAUAGUAAAAAUAUUUAAUUUAUAUUGCCCUUAUCAAUAAUUUUUAAUUUACAUAAUUAAAAUUAAAAUUAAUAAAAAAUUGUGAUGUACAUAAUUAAGAAUAUUAAUAAUUAUUAUAAAUUUACAAAUAUAAUAAAAUAAAAUUUUAUUUAUCAAAUAUAUUUUUGAUUAACUUUGUAAUUAAAAGCUAUAAUUCUUUAAAUAAAGGUAAAAUUGUAAUUUGAAAUUAUUUACUCCAAAUCCAAGACAAAGUAAAUACAUAAAUUAGAUUCUAAUCUUCAUUCCAUACUUCCAUUCCAGUGUAAGUAAACAAUCUACUCCCACGCCCACUCUACACUCUCAAUUAUAGGAUUACCACUCCAAUCCAAAAUGUAAAUGCUCCCUUAGUACCUUUUUUACUCUUUUUUUUCUCUAAAAAAAAUCAGAAUUUAUCAUUUAUUUGUUACCGUAGAUUCUCUUAUCUUCCUCUUAUUUGCUAAUUUCCUUAUCAAAUUAAGGUAAUUUAUCUCUCUUUUCUCUUUUUCACUUGUUAAAAAAUUUAUCAGCGCAUAACCAAAUCUAACAACAAGCUACAUUUGUAAGCUUAUAUUAGAGCCAAAAUUAAAAGUUGUCAAGAUUUUAAAUUCUGACCAACUAAUGAUUCAAUCUACAUUAAAGGACAAAUAAGGAGACAUUUAGAAAACAUUAAUUGAAAACUAAGUAUUUCAUAAAAUAAUAGAGUUUAUAUUUUAUUUUUAAUUUUGUCCCUCAUUCAACUAUAUUUUUUCUUUCAAUAGGAGUUAGAGAUUUGUUUUAUAAAAUGAUUUAAUUUUAUAUUUUUUGAACUAAUUGAAAUCAUAAGGAGGUAAAAAUGUUAUUACUGCUUUAACAUAGUAUAAAAAAUAUUAUGAUUUGAUAUAAUUGAAAGAAACAUAUAUCAAUAUAUAUUAUAACAUCGUCACUAGUAUUAGAAAGUUGCAAAAUGGAACAUAGUAACUAUGUUAUAACAUUGUCACUAGUAUUAGAAAAUGGAACAUCAUCAAGUCAUAUGAAUAUAUGGUUUGGUCUAAUUGCAAAAUGGAACACAAUAACAAUUAACAACAUUUUCAACUAUAACUUUCAUGACUUUUAACUUCACAGUCAUAUUUACUUUUUUUCUUCUAAUUAUAUUAAAUAAUUCAAAUAUAUGACAUUCUCUAUCAAUAAAAAAAUAAUAAUUUCAUAAUAAUUAUUUUAUGGUUUAAUUUUAAUAAUUUAUAUUAUAAGCUUAUUUGUUAAAUAUAUGUAUUUCUCUAAGAGUUUUGAUAUAUGUGUUCUUUUACUCCUUUAUAUGCACCGAUAUUCAACAAAUAUUUAUCAUAAAUUUAUAAAUUAGCCCAAACUCAUUAGAAGUCCUAGGUCCGCCCCUUCAUUGAGAGUUAGAAAUCUCAUCUCAAGAACCCUACAGAUUCCCCUACUGUUGUUAUAAAAGAGUCUGUUAACUCCAAUUGAACUCGCCAAUCCUACUAUUUAUGUUAUAACUGAUAUGCAUGCUAAAAGAAUUGUAUAGAAUUUAUAAAUGGAACUGAUAGCAUGAACCUACUAAAAUCUUAAAAUUACUGGAAUACACACACACACACCGCUCAAUCUUUCAUCUGCUGAAGGAUCCUGAUCAAAUGAUGUUGAUAUAGACUGUUUUGUCUCCAUCGUGUGCCGCCUUUCAUUGAAUUAAAAGAAACCCAGAAGAUGAAUAUCAAAGAAAACAUGACUGUAGCUGAAACUAGCUAUGACCAAUCAAAUGAAUAUUCAUGUGAUAUAUAACCACAAGCCUGGACAGUGAAGCCUCUGAAUUAUGUUUCUCUUGAACAAAUGUGCAGUCUGCUAGCAUUACAGGCCAUGGUGAUAUACCACUUUCUGAAACUAGGCAAAUGCAUUUCAAUCCAUUCCUCAAUGGAAGACAAUGAUAUGCUUAUACGUUUCUAUAUUCAAUUUUUCCGCAAGUAACAUGUAGUUCAGGUGCUAUAAAUUACCACAGGUACUUUGCGUUACUACAUAUGUACUUGUUUUAUUUUAAUUAUUAAUUACCCGAUCUGCAAUGCUCAAGUUCACUUCAACUCAUAAAUUGAAGUAUGUCAAUUUAUGAAAGAGCCGCAGGCUGAAAUUUACGCUUGCAAAAAAUUAAUGAGACACUUAUUAACGAUGAUCAGGUAUAUUUAUACAAUAUUUUACCUUGAGGGUGCAUUUGGUUGAGUGAUAAAAGGCUUGGGAUUGAAUUAUUUUUACAAACUUUAAUCUAACUUCCUGUUUGGUGCAAACAAAAUGAUUUAGCAUAUAAUCCUAGCCCACACUUUAUUUUUAAUAAAGGAUCUGCACUUUAAUAAGAUAAAGAUAAAAGUUUUCCCAUAAAGAUGGAGAACUUAACAUGGAAUUAUAACUUAGCAUAACGUUAUGUUUAGUCUAAAACAAUUUGAAAUUAUUUUACCUUAAAAUAGUUAAACGCAUAUCUAAUCACUUCUUGUUGAUAGGACAACAACCUACAUUAUGGAGAGGUGAAAAAGAAAAAGGAACUAAACCUUAAAAGUAAUAGACGGAAACACAUCUAGUCACUUCUUAUUCAUGGCACAACUUACAUUCUCUGGAAAAAAUGAAAAACGAAAACUGAACCCUAAAAGUGAUAGACAUGAACACAUCGAACCACUUCUUAUGGAUAGUACAACAGCUUACAUUGUAGUAUUACAAAAGCCAAUUUAAUCAUAUAAAGAAGCAGAAAGGCGAGGAGUAAGAAGCGCUUUAAGCGGAGUAGCUCUAUUGAUGGUUAAGGAUUUUGCCUCUUCCAUGUCAACUGGUUCAUCUAAUGGGGUUGCAAAAUCAAACCCGUGUAGUAAAGAAGCAAGGAUUAGUGGCAUAACUUGAAAGGCAAAUGAAAUUCCAGGACAUAUUCUUCUACCACUGCCAAAUGGUAUCAAUUCAAAGUUUUGUCCCCUUAAGUCAAUAUCCUUGUGUGUUGUAAGAAAUCUUUCUGGCAGAAAUUUUCAAGGCUCCUGCCAAACUUUUGGGUCAUGAUGAACCUUCAAAGCAUUAACAAAAUGUUGCGUGCCUGCACGGACAUGGUAACCACUGACGGUGCAGUCUUCCAUCGACUGGUGAGGUAGUUGAAGUGGCGCAACCGGAUAUAAACGCAUUGUUUCCUUGAGGAUAGCCCGCAAGUAAACUAAAUUUUUAAUGUCAGAUUCAUUCACUUGCCUUUUUGCACCAACAUGAAUGUCUAGUUCAUCCUGAGCCUUCUUCAGAGUAUCUCGAUUGUUAAGAAGUAAAGAGAUCAGAAAAUUUGUCAAGUGGGUAUUGAAGCCUAAGAGCCAGAUUACAGUUGCUGCUUUUGACGGUUUCUUUUCGGCUUGAAGAAAUUAAUUUUUUAAAAAAUUACUCGCUGGUUAAUUGUGUUUGUAGAUGAAACCCAAUCAUGCAUGAGUUUUCUCUGUUUUUUUUUCCAGUGUACAUAAUGAUCUUGAUCGUGCAUAUAAGAAAAUGUCAAGUUUCUCUGUUCAGUUUUUGAAAUCUCAGGCUUUUCUGUUCAAGAGGUUGAUUACUUGAUGGGAUUUUUUUUUCGGGGGGGCAAGUUAACAUGAUGUUUGCUAGUAUUACUGAUGCACAAUUCGUAGCAGGAGAAAUUUUUAUCGAUUGUCUUUGAUUAUGCUCCAAGUCCACAAAAACAAAAAUUAUGUGGAACUGAAUCACAUCCAUAAAUAAAUUUGCCCAAAUUUUACCACUUCAGGAUGUAUAGGAUUAUCAAAAAGGCAUCAAUAUUAUGGAUGUGAUUGGACUGUGAAUUGUGCGAUAAAUAUUUGGGAAAGCUAACAAAACUUGAAAAUCCCUUUAUAUUUUUCCAGAAUUCGCCUUUUAUGAUUGCUCGCAGCAAGUACAUCAGAAACUUUCUCAAAUUUCCAAAAUACCAUGCUGUUGUUAUAAAGAUUCUGUUAAUUGCAAUUGAUUUUGGACUUGCCAAUUAAUAUCCUAGCACGAUAUGGUAAUUAACUCGUGUAUACGAAAAGAACUCUACCGAAUUUAUAAAUUGAACUGAAAGCCUGAACCUGCUGAAACCUUAAAAUUGUUGUGUUGAAAGUAGCAGCUGUGAAAAUUCAACAGCUGACUCUGAUGACAAGCUGGCAUGCCACCUCAGCUGCACUCAUUUGCAAUAAGAAAAUGUAGAAGAUUUAAUGAGCUAGCAAAAUGGAUUUACUGAAGAAUAUCAGCAAAUGAGCAUGCAAGAAUUACGUUUCUAGAAGCUGAAAAUGAUUGGCUGAUAUUUGUCAUAUUUACAGGGUUGUUAUUUGUUCAUUUCCAAAUCUUACCCCUUAGGCCAACUGUUUCUUCUUUUUCCUCUCUGUAUAUAAAUGAACCUAAGCUUGUAUUUUCAUUCAUUCAAGUCGUUAUCUUUUAUAAAGCAUUUUGUGAUUUAUGCUUUGCUUGCUGUUCAUAAGCAAUUUAAGUUGGUAUCAGAGCCGCUUUGAGCUAUGGCAAGUAGCAGCAACAACACACAUAAAAACACGAAUCAGUCACAAAUGAAUCCAAAUAACCAAGAAGAUAACGUGAAUCAAAAUCAAAACUCAGGGCACAAUGUCACAAACUCAGUAGUAAUUAAUCACUCUCCCACACAACAUAUUACCAACAAUACAUAUGUCUUUACAACUCCUAUCAAGCUCACCCAAAACAAUUUUAUGCUCUACAGAUCACAAGUGAUUUCCAGUAUCAGGGCUAUUGAGCUUGAAGGUUUUGUUGAUGGUAGCCAUGUCUGCCCUUCAAGAUAUUUCACAAACCCGGGACCAAAUGGAACCACCAUAAAUACACCUAACCUUGGGCAUCAAAUUUGGAAAAAGCAAGACCACAUUUUACUAAGUUGGUUACUGUCAUCCUUGAGUGAGGGGGUUUUGGGCACAGUGGUUGAUUGUUCUACCUCAUGUGAGGUUUGGACAAAUCUUACCAACCAAUUUGGUGCUAGAACUAGAGCCAGAAUAUUACACCUCAGAACUCAAAUCCAAAUAACCAAAAGGGUUCAGUCACCAUUGAUGACUACUAUUCUAGAAUGAAGUCUAUGUUAAAUCAGCUUAGAGCAGUAGGUAACAAUAUGAGUGAUGAUGACUUUGUCAUGUGUGUGUUGGCUGGACUAGGACCUGAAUACGACUCAAUAGUCACCAACACAAACUCUAUGCCAGAGAGCCCCUCACUCUUAAAAGUGUAUGGCAUGCUUCUCAGUCAAGAAAAUAGAAUUGAACAAAAUUUAAGCUUGGGGGCUGUUGAGGCAAACUACACUCAAAUGAGAAAUGGGAGGAGAAACUGAGGUAACAAUGACAGAACUGAAAAUCAAUAUCAACCUGGAAUAGUCUUUAGAAACCCUGAUAGUGGAACUGGAAACAAUUAAGAAAAUCAAAAUCCUCAAGACAAGGGAAAAGGCAAAGCAAUAGCAAAUGAUAAUGGUUCAGAAUCCAAAGGGCCAUGUCAAAUUUGCUUGAAGAUGGGGCAUACAGCUACUGAGUGUUGGCAUAGAUUCAAGAAGAAUUUUGUACCCCAGCCAAACAGAAGAAGAGAAACAAGAGGUGCCUAUGUAGCCUCAACUGAUAGGCAAAGUAGUGGAGCAUGGUAUCUGGACAAUAGUGCCACUAACCAUGUCAAAAAUGCACUUGGAAAUAUCAACAUCAACUCUGAAUAUCAAGGUAAUGACCAACUUGUUGUUGGCAAUGGUGAGAAACUUGUGAUAUCUCAUAUUGGCUGUUCUGUUUUGCCUACUUUUGAUCCACAAAAACACAUCACAUUAAACCAUAUAUUGCAUGUUCCUGACAUUACUAAAAAUGUUAUUAGUAUAUCUAAAUUGCUGCAUGAUAAUGACAUUAAUGUUGAGUUUCACAAAUCUGCCUGUUUUGUCAAGGACAAUAAGCAAGGGAAAAUUCUGAUGAAAGGAGUGGCUAGAGAUGGAUCGUAUGAGCUGCUGUGCUUACCUAUUCAUUUGAGCAGAAGCAAAAAUUUACACACUGCUUUCCUAUCUGUAUCUUCAAUACUUGUGUCAAUAAGGUCCAUUAGUGAUCCAUUGUCUAUGUUAUCCUUCAAUUCUAAUGGUAAUGAGUCUGUCAGUGUUAAUGAGUCUAGUGUAAUUGAUAAAUCAAACGGCAGUGUUUCAAAAGCUACAAAGGAGAUUGAUCUUUGGCAUUUUAGACUAGGGCAUCCCAAUGUAUUUUGCUUUGAAAAAUACUUUGUUGUCUUGUAAUCAGUUAAGGAUAAAUAAAAAUAUCAUCCCUUCAUUUUGUUGUGCAUGCCAAUAUGGAAAGCAAUCAAAACAGCAAUUUAAGAACACUGAGACCAAAACCAAAAUAGCUUUAGAAUUGAUCCAUACAGACCUAUGGAGAAUAGCACAAAUCCCCUCAACAAAAGGAUAUAGAUAUUAUAUAUCUUUUGAUGAUGACAGAACCAGAUACACAUGGCUCUUUCCUAUAACAACAAAAUCUUAGGCUCUUGACACAUUCAUUGCAUUCAAAAGGCAAAUAGAAAAUCAACUAAACUUGAAAAUUAAAGCACUGCAAACAGACAUGUGGGAGAAUUCAAAGCCUUUGAACCAUAUCUUAGAAGAGAGGGAAUAACUCUAAGACAUUCUUGCCCUUACUUACAUAAACAAAACGGUAAAGUUGAGAGAAAACACAUACACAUUAUGGAAACUGGACUCACAUUGCUAGCCCAAGCCAAAAUGCCAUUGAAAUAUUGGCAAAAAGCUUUUACAUAUGCUGUAUACACUAUUAACAGACUGGUAUCACCUGUAGUUGGGAGCAAAACACCAUUUGAAUUGCUGUACUCUUUUAAACCAGAUUACUCUCAAAUUAAAGUGUUUGGCUGUGAGUGCUUUCCUUACCUAAGACCCUACAACAAGCACAAAUUUGAUUUUCACACCUCCAAGUGUGUCUUGUUAGGAGUACGUAUUGCUCACAAAGGAUAUGUAUGCAUGGGUCAGUCUGGCAGGAUUUACAUUUCAGCUAGUGUAAGGUUCAAUGAAAACUCUUUUCCUUUCUCAAAUUAUCCAAAUUUCAACAAAAAUGAGUCCAUGAAUGAAAGUGAUUUUACUACUCUCUCUGAAAAGUUUCAAGUUGUUUCCUUCCCUGUCAACAGUCUUGACAAUUUCACACAGCUAGCAGCUGCACACAAUCAUUCUCAAGACACUGCUGGAAAUAUGGAACUUCCCUAAAAUCUUGUCCAAGAUGAAGCACAACAGACUUUGGAGACUGACACAUUAUCAGGUAACCACUCACCUCACCAACCCUUGUUACAUAUUCCAGAAGACAGUCCAAAUUCACUCCUAGCCACAGAACUAAACACUUAAAACCUUGGUAAACAAAAAACUUGGCCAUCACAUCCUAUGAUAACAAGAUCUAAAGCAAGAAUUUUCAAACCAAAACUAUACCAAAUAUCUACCCAAAUCCAAUCCUCUCUUCCUAAAAACACCUGUAAAGCCUUAAAGGAACCGAAAUGGAAAGAGGCAAUAGUAUAUGAGUACAAUGCCCUGAUGAAAAACAGAACAUGGACCUUGAUACCUAAUAGUCAAAAUUAUAAGUUGGUUGGAAACAAGUGGGUGUACAAAAGAAAAGAGAAUCCUGAUGGUACCAUUAACAAGUACAAGGCCAGACUUAUUGCUAAACGAUUCUUGCAAACACUAGGUGUUGACUUCAAGGAGACAUUUAGCCCUGUAGUUAAGGCUGCAACAAUUAGAAUUGUUCUGACUUUGGUAGUGAAUAACAACUGGAUGCUGAGGCAAGUGGACAUAAACAAUGCAUUUCUAAAUGGAGACUUGACUGAGGAAGUGUACAUGCCACAGCAUGAAGGAUUUGAAAACAAAAGCAAGCCAAACUACAUAUGCAAGCUGAACAAAGCACUGUAUGGACUAAAGCAGGCUCCUAGAGUCUGGUUUGACAAGCUGAAGAGUGCUUUAUACUCUUGGGAUUUUGAAAAUUCUAAGUGUGACAUUUCAUUAUUUUUCAAAAGAACAAAAUCAGAUAUAAUUAUUAGGCUUAUCUAUGUUGAUAAUAAUCACUAGAAGCAGCAAUAAGGAUGUCGAAAAAGUGAUUGUAAAGCUGAGCAAAACCUUUGCCUUAAAGGAUUUGGGUAAUUUAAAUUUCUUACUCGGGAUACAAGUUACCAGAAAUCAAGAUACCAUCAUGCUCUCUCAAACCAAAUAUGUUUAAGAUCUGUUGAUAAAAGCAUAAAUGACUGACUCCAAAGGCAUAAAAACUCCUUUCAGCACUUCAGAAAAGCUAAAAAGAAAUGAGAGAGCCAAGUUUCAUGACCCUACACUUUAUAGAAGUGUCAUAGGAAGCCUACAAUAUGCAGUGCUUACAAGACCUAAGCUUGCCUUCUCUGUGAACAAGCUUAGUCAGUUUAUGUCAGAUCCUAGACAGUCACAUUGCAUAACAUGUAAAAGGGUACUGAGAUAUCUUAAGAAUACAAUGAACAUGUGCCUAAGGAUAAAAAAGUCAGAAUAUUUUGAUCUCACUGCCUAUACUAAUGCAGAUUGGGCUAGUGAUCCAGAUGACAGAAGGUCAAUCAGUGGCUAUUGCGUAUAUUUGGGUAAUAACUUGGUGGCUUGGAGUUCAAGAAAACAAGGUGUGGUUGCUAGAUCUACUGCAGAGUCUGAAUACAGAGCUAUGGCUGUAUGCAGUGUUGAAAUUACAUGGAUCAGUUCAUUGCUUAAUGAGCUUGAGUUAAAAGUUCAAGGAACUCUAGUGAUUCUAAGUGACAGUACCAGUGCAGCAGCCAUAACUGCCAAUCCUAUAUACCAUUCGAGAACUAAACAUUUCGAAAUUGAUCUUCACUUCAUCAGAGACAAAGUUAUGAAAGGUGAAAUAGAAAUAAGUUUUGUUGCCAGCAAGGAUCAAACUGCAGAUGUUCUAACUAAACCUCUGCUAUACUAUAAAUUUGACUACUUCAGAAGCAAACUCAAUGUCUUUGCAAGACCUUGUGUUUGAGAGAGGGUAUUGAAAGUAGUAGUUGUGAAAAUUCAAUAGCUGACUCUGAUGACAAGCUGGCAUGCCACCUCAGCUACACUCAUUUGCAAUAAGAAAAUGUAGAAGAUUUACUGAGUUGGCAAAAUGGAUUUAUUGAAGAAUCUCAACAAAUGAGCAUGCAAGAAUUACGUUUCUAGAAGCUGAAAAUGAUUGGCUGAUAUUUGUCAUAUUCACAGGUUGUUAUUUGUUCAUUUCCAAAUCUUACCCCUUUAGGCCAACUGUUUCUUCUUUUUCCUCUCUGUAUAUAAAUGAACCUAAGCUUGUAUUUUCAUUCAUUCAAGUCGUUAUCUUUUAUAAAGCAUUUUGUGAUUUAUGCUUUGCUUGCUGUUCAUAAGCAAGUUAUAGCAAAUUUAAGUUGUUGGAUCAUAAACUUGAUCCAAGAUGAAUAAAUUCAAGCCCAACUCAUGCAAGGUUCCAUGAGUAGGUAUGGUUGGUGAUGUUUGAAUUAUUUGUGUUAGGUGUGGUGGGUUUGGUAGGUGAAGAUGAAUGGAUAUUAAUUUUUUGUAAUUUCUUAUUUGAAUGGUUGUGAUUAGCUUGUUUCAUGUAUAAAUACCCCAUCUCCCCUUUGGUUUAAGCAUAAAGUGAAGUAACAAAAUCUCUAAGUUGUAGAGAGUGAAAAAUAAGAGUUGUAGUUGGUGAGGAGUGUUAUUGAAGAAAUAAAAUAGUGUAUUUUUUUAGUGUCAUAUGUGUUAACUUUCCAACAAAAAUUACUGGACAUAAACUUUCCUACUGCUUAAUCUUUCCUGCAGCCGAAAUCAGCUAUAACCAAUAAAAGAAAUUUCAUUGACUAUAUAGCCACAGCCCACAAGCCUGUAUACUGAUGCCUCUGAAUUAUGUUUCUCGAGCGAAUGUGCAGUCCGCUAGCUUACAUCUUGAGGGCUAGUGAGCUGAUCUGCAUGUUACACAAGGACUUGUUUUAGUUUAAUUAAUUACCUGAUCUACAUCGCUCAAGUUCACUUCACCAAAUUAAUAAAUUGAAGCACGUCAAUUUACGAAGAGGGCUGGUAAGCUGAAAUUUUUUUCACCGUAAAAAAAUUAAAGAGGAACUAAUUAACUAUGAAUAAUUGCAUUGUUAAACUUUUAGUUUAAUUAAUUACCUUGAGGAUGCAUUUGAUUGUUUUUACAAACAUUAAUCUAAUUUUAUGUUUGGUGCAAACAAAAUGAGUUAGGAUAGCAUGUCCUGCCCUACAUCUUUUUUUUUUUUUAAAUCUGGACCCGCGCUUUAAUAAGAUAAAUGUAAAACUUUUUCCCAUAAAGAUGGAAACCUUAACUAUGAAUUAUUACUUAGCAUAAUGUUAUAUAAACAUAUAAAUAAACACACAUCUAAUCGCUUCUUAUUGAUAUCACAACAACUUACAUUCUGGGGAAAAAAAAAAAAUACUAAACCCUCAGGGUAAUAGACAUGAUCACAUCUGAUCACUUCUUAUUGGUGAUACAAAAACAUACAUUCAGUAUUGCAAAAGCCAAAUUAAUCAUAUAAAGAAGCAGAAAGGCGUGGAGUAAGAAGCACCUCAAGUGGAGUAGCUUUAGCAUAGGUCAAGGAUUUUGCCUCUUCCAUGUCAACUGGUGCAUCUGAUGGGGUUGCAAAAUCAAACCCAUGUAGUAAUGAAGCAAGUAUUAGUGGCAUAACUUGAAAGGCAAACGAAAUUCCAGGACACAUUCUUCUACCACUUCCAAAUGGUAUAAAUUCAAAAUUCUGUCCCUUCAGAUCAACGUCCUUGUAUUUUGUAAGAAAUCUUUCUGGCAGAAAUUUACAAGGCUCCUCCCAAACUCCUGGAUCACGCUGAAUCUUCCAAGCAUUAACAAUAAGUUGUGUGCCUGCAGGGACAUGGUAACCACUGAUGGUGCAGUCUUCGAUAGACUCGUGAGGUACUAAAAGUGGCGCAGCGGGGUAUAAACGCAGUGUCUCCUUGAGGACGACCUGCAAAUAAGCUAAAUUUAUCAUGUCUGAUUCAUUCACUUGUCUAUUUGUACCAACAUGAACGUCUAGUUCAUUUUGAGCCUUCUCUAGAACAUCGCGGUUGUUGAGAAGUAGGGCGAUAGCCCAUGUCAAUGUUACUGCGGUAGUGUCUGAAGCUGCUAAGAUUAGAGACUGCAAAAGUAGGAGUCAGCUCGAUUAUAUAUAUAAAAUAGCUUUUUGCCAAUUGACAUGUUAUCAAUAAUUUAUGCAUUAGCUGUGCUUAAGUUUUUUUCAGGACAAUACCAGGCAUAUAGCUUUAAUAACAGUGUCAGUGUCAUCGCCAUCAGGAAGCUGCUUUGUUUUGUCAUCAAACAAGGACAGCAUCACAUACAUAAAGUCUUCAUCUCCCUUAACCUCGCUAGAACCUCUUUUGCUCUUAUGCUCAUCCAACCAUCCUUGGAAAACGAGGUCAAAUUCUUUAGCUGUCUUCUUCAUUAAUUUCUCGUAUCCGCCGAUAUCCAGCCAUCUCAGAAACGGUAAAGCGUCAGACACCACAAACUUACCAAACAAGUCAAAAAAGUCGGUCGCAUGCUCUUGAAAAUCAGAGCUGUCUUGUGAAGUGUAACGUUUUCCUGCAAUUAUUCUCAUGAUAAUAUCAAGUACAAUCCCCUCAAUCCAGUGCUUCAUCUCCACUGAAACCUUAUGUGAACUGCUCCUUUUGCAAUUCUCGAAUAACCCUUUGAUUGAAGCCUUCACUUCAGACUCUCGUACAUGUUUCAGCUUCUGAAGUUGAUUGUUUGAUAAAAGCUCAAUCGUGGCCAUCUUACGAGACUCUCGCCAGUAGUUGCCGUAUGGGCUGGCAGCAAUGGCCAAAAAAUUGUACCCUAAGAGAUCCAUGGCCAUUGAUCUGGGACGAUUUGCAAAGGGUUUGUCGUUGAUGGUGAAACAUUCUUUGGCAAUUUCCCAAUUGCUGACCACUAAAGCUCGAUUCAAGCCCAUUUUCAUAGUGAAUAUUGGACCGUAUUUAUCAGCCAUGUCGCCCAAAAGUCUAUGAGUUGGCUCUUGCCCUCCAAAGAGAUGUAAAUGGCCAAUCAAAGGCCAUGCUCCCCCAGCCACUGGUGCUUGAUGAGGAGCUUGUGUCUUUUUUGUUCGCCCAUUUAGUGAAAUCAAGAGUAGAAGUAAGAGAAAUAUUACAAAGCCUGAAAUUAUUGCAAGAACAGUUGAUCCUAGUGUAAGAAAAAUGGCCAUUUCUAAUUAGUUUUUGCUGGCUCUGAGACUCUGAUCUGAAUGAAGAGGUUACUUCAAAUCAUGACUGAUAUAUAGAUAUAAUUUAAGAGCAUAUAGCGUAAGGUCUGCAGUAAAAGUUUCGUCUAGUCAAUGAUUAUAAGAUAAUUACAAAAUUGGUACGUAAUGUACCCUUAAAAUGCUUUAAACACUUUUAUUUUAAUAAAAUUUUAUAUAACUAAAAUACUUAUAAAGUAAUUGUACUAUUAAGUACAAGCUUAUGAAUCAAACAAAAUAUAUUUUACUUUUCCCAAUUUCAUUAAUUUGAGUCUCUGAAAUUCUUACGUUUACAAAUAAUUCCCAUACCUAGGAAGAGACUCGUCUAAGAUAUAACAAAAUCAAACAAUUUUUACUUUUCUAGUCAGUUUGUUGCUUUGUGAAAUCAAGGGAUGCUUCUAAAGUCUUAGAAAAUGACGGUUUACUACUUUGAUCCAUGGCUAACAUAAAAUUUCGAUGACCAAGUCAUUUUAUUUUUCAUUUUCCAAUCCAAAUUCAUGACUCAGGACCCAAAGUCUUGCAAUUUUUUUGUUUUUUUCUGUUAGGUUAUAAAUGUGAAUUAUGAAGGAUAAUUUUUGCUCAUUCUUUGACUGAAUGACUAUCAAACUUUGCCCUAUUGUUAACCAUUGAAACAAAUGAUGAUAGAUUAAUAUUGAGAAAAUAAUUACUUCAAAUAAAAUUUAAUAUUUAUGUGGGAUGGAGAAUAACCCCUCCAUUGAGUUGGUUGGCAUUUCCUUCUCUUGACAAUGAGAUGAAAAAAUAUAGUUUUUAUUUAAUUGAUAUAAAAUUAUUCUAGUGUAAAUUAUUAUUAUUGUUAUUAAUUCAAAGUUUUGUCCCCUUAAGUCAAUAUCCUUGUGUAUUGUAAGAAAUCUUUCUGGCAGAAAUUUACAAGGCUCCUGCCAAACUUUUGGGUCAUGAUGAACCUUCCAAGCAUUAACAAAGAGUUGCGUGCCUGCAGGGACAUGGUAACCACUGACGGUGCAGUCUUCCAUCCACUGGUGAGAUUGUAGAAGUGGCGCUGCCGGAUAUAAACGCAUUGUUUCCUUGAGCAUAGCCCGCAAGUAAACUAAAGUUUCAAUGUCAGAUUCAUUCACUUGCCUAUUUGCACCAACAUGAAUGUCUAGUUCAUUCUGAGCCUUCUUCAGAGCAUCUUGAUUUUUAAAAUUAUCUUCUUCACAUAUGAGAUAAACAUCUAGUCUAUGGAAGGUUCUACCUGCAUUCCUAUCCUUGGUAGAGAAAUCAAAUCAUGGAUCUUUGGGAAUGUACAUGUUUGUACAAAUCUUUGAACCGGAACUCCCCCUUUUUAAUUGAUUUGUAUUCAUCAGCAAUUUAUAGUUUUAUAUUGAUGAUGUUCUUUCUUGUUUCAUACAUACCGAAAUGAUAUAUCAAUCAUACUGUCAUCAGUAAUAAAUAAGAUUCUAGGUUUACAUUGCAUAAUACAUAAUCAAGCUUUAACUUUGCUUUGAAUCUUCUAAAUUAAAACACAUGGGUAUGUACACCCGAAGAACUAGUACGCCAUUAAUUAAAUGCUUAAAACAAACAUAAAUUCAAAAUGAGACAUUUGGUGACAAUGUUUAUUCGCUUGCACAAUGGGUUAACAAAAGUGUCCAUGGUUUGGUAAAUGGUAAAUACAAAUUCUUUUGUGGAUACAUUUUAGUGGCACUUGUAAUUGAAAAGGGCAGAGAUUGAAAAAAUAUAUAAUGAAAAUGGUAAUUCUAAAAAUAAAUAGAUUUAAUUAAGAAAUGGGGCUAAUGAGAUAAAUAGAAGAGGUCAAAUAUCACUACACAAAUAUAUUUUAGAUGCAUAAAAUUCAGUACACAUAGAUUGGAUCAUGUAAAUUAUGGAUCUUCCUAUGUAUAUUUUUUAAUAUACACAAAUUAAGCAGUUGUUAAGAGUGUUUCCAUGCUUGACAAUUAACUAGUAAUAGGCGAUAACUUGCUUGAUUCAUCAAAAUACCUGCUCCAAAUUAAUUAAAAGUCUCAAUCCUAAAUAAAGUCAAUGUGGCAUUACCAAGAUCAUCUAAUUAAUGUCUGCGUCGUUUUCUUAAUCCAAUUAAAAUUUUAUCUACAAAUUAAGACGAGAUCGAUGGUUAAAAAAUUGUACUUAAUUUUGGCUUUAAACUGAUCAACCCGUCUGAAAGCAAUAUGGCUUUUGAAACCAUCAAAGCUCAUGUCACAUACACCUACUCUUUUGUAACAAUUUUAAAGAAAAUUCGGGGAAAAUAAAUCAUGCGUCACAAAGUUCAAGUCAAUUUAUUUGGUUAUAAUUUAUUGAUUCAUUAUUCCUUUUCGAUUUAUUCAAGUCAGUUUAAUUAAUUAAUUCAUAAGAGAUGGGAUUUGAACCCAUCAAAGUACUCUUAUACUUAUUUUUAAUAAUUUUUUCUUUUAUUACUAAAAUAUCCAUUACAAAAAUUAUCACCGAGAACAACAUAAAACCCAAAUUCGUUUUCAAUGUUUGAACUUAACUUUAUUUUGUAGUACAAUGAAAGCGAGAGAGAAACAUUCAUUAAGGAUGAGUAACAAUUAACUAACUUUCCGUUCCACCCAAACAAAUCAAGGUCAAGGAUAUGGCUUUUCAAAAUGACUGGCAAAAUCGUCAUCUUAUUAUUAUUAUUAUUAUUUUUGAAUUCAGAAUUCGAACUGUCUAAAAUACCCGAGGUGGCUAACAUGUUAGAACAGUUCAAGUCAAAUAUGAAUUAUUGAAUUAAUUGUAAACAAGCAUUAAUGUUAGAGGUGGCUAUGCAAAGUAGCAGGGUGAAUGAUUUGAGCGUAAAAAUUGAAUUGUAAGAAUACGUAAAAGUUGAAUGCUUCAAUUCAAUUAGAGUUAACGAGUGGUUGAGUUGAUUUAUUCAGUUCAAAGUGGAGUUCUUUUUUGGGCAUAUUAAAGGGGCUUUGGUUUGGUUGAAUGGAAUAUACUAGUAUAAAUUAAGGUGGCCAUUCACAUUAAGGUAGGUGAAUUAAUUUUAAAGUUCUCUCGUAACUGAUUGUUGACGUGGCACAACUUAUUUACUGAUAUUUUUAAUCUUUUUGAGAUAUAAUUAAUUAUUAUAAUUUAUUAAUCAGUUACUUAAAAAAUUCAGGCAAAUAUUUAACCAUAAAUUCGUUUUUUUGGAUCCAACCAUUGGAUCCUGUUGGUGCAAAUUUUGUCCCAACUUAUACGAGGUACCUCAGUCUAUACGGGGUACCUCGAGUUACUCUGGAGUUAUGCGGGGUACCUCUGACCGUGCCGGGUACCUCUAAUCAUGCCAGGUACCUCUAAUCUUGUGGGGUACCUCAGAUUGCAUUGAAGUUAUUCCAUUCGUCGACACGUGGCGUUCUGCUAUCUUUCUUAUUUUUCCCCCAAACAACAUCCCCCUAGUUUCUUUUGGCGAGAAGUAUUGGAGGCAAAAGAAACUUACAUAAAAAGUAGGAGCGACACGUGGCGAAAUGAAGUUUAGCUCGAUGGGCAGCUGAAUAGAGGACGCCUCUAGGGAUACCGUCAUGAAGGGAAGAUCUCUGGAGUGAACAAGACUUUGAGGGGACACUUUGAUGAAGUUUUAGAUGAGAAGGCCCAUAAGGUGGAAGACCCUGAGGAGCUUUAAGUUAAACUUUAGGACUUGGUACCUCGACAGAAGAACAUAGUUGACAAUACUUUUGAGCGCAUCAUGACCGAGGAAUGGAGUGCUGAUAUGGGGCUGGUGGUGCAAAGAGUAGAGAACUAGGUAGAUAAGCCGGCUAUCUUGAAGGCAAUUGAGAAUAGCAGGGCUCCCCACACAUCUUGGUCUGAAAGCCCAUGGAGAUCAACUGGGGUACCUCAGAUGAAGUCACUAUAAGGUACCCCUGAUACCGACGCUUGUGUUUCUGCUAUUUCUAGCACUUUUGUUGAUCUCCUUAUCCUAAAUGAUGAAGGUGAAGAUAACCAUCCUACUAUAUAACAUUGUUCGACAUUACCGACAAGGCAUAUGGGGUACCUCGGGUACCCUUAAGCUUGGAUAUCCCCUGAGCUAUCUGGUACUUCAUGGCGGGAUAACCCAAUUUUAUCAAACAUAUGGCGAUUCCUUCAAAUAUGCUUGCUGCUUAUCUCAGGCUUUCUUAGAGUUCCUCUUGGUGUACACGAGGAAUGGUUUUCUGUCAUAGGGUACCCUGAGUACUAUGGGUACCCUUAAUCUUGUCUCAUCAGUGUAUCGUGGUUUACUUAGACAUGCUUGUUGCGGUUAAUUCAUGGCGGAACAACCCAAUUUCAUCAAACAUAUGGUGAUUCCUCUGGAUAUGUUUGUUGUUUAUCUCAAGCUAUCUUAGGGUUCCUCUUAGUGUAUUUGAGGAAUGACUUUCUGGCGUGGGGUACCUCGGAGGUACCCUUAAUUAGUGUAUGGCAAUUUUCAUAGACAUUCUUACCGCAAAUCUUCACAAAACUUAUGGCGAUUCCUUUUGAGAGAUGAAUGAAAACCUCAUGAUCCACCAUUCACUCUACAUCAAAUAUGCAAGAUAAAUAGUAAUAAAGGUGGGCUGCUCGCCUACCUUUAUGUAAGAUGGUCGAAAAUCUCAUGAUCCACCAUUCGCGUUGAAUCAAAUAGACAACAUAGAUUGAGAUAAAUGUGGCUGCUCGCCUACCCUUAUGCGACAUGGUCGAAAACCUCAUGAUCCACCAUUUGCUGGAAUCAAAUAGACAACAUAGAUUGAGAUGAAGGUAGCUGCUCGCCUACCCUUAUGCGAGAUGGUCGAAAACCUCAUGAUCCACUAUUCGCAUGGAAUCAAAUAGACAAUAUAGAUUGAGAUAAAGGUGGCUGCUCGCCUACCCUUAUGCGAGAUGGUCGAAACCUUGUGAUCCACCAUUCGCAUGGAAUAAAAUAGACAACAUAAAUAAAGAUGAAGGUGGCUGUUCGUCUACCCUUAUGCGAAAUGAUUGAAACCUCAUGAUCAACCAUUCGCUCAGAAUCAAAUAUGGCGAGCAAAUAAUGAUAAAGGCGGCUCUGAUGUUAAGUAGAUUAUCAUGAUUGGGGAUAGGUCAGGUACCUCGGGUACCCUGGAGUAAGGUGAUCUCUGGAUACCCUCUUGCAUCAUAAUAAACAAUACUUUUACUAGUAGCAUGACUUUUCUUUGUUGGAUCGGUGGCCCAAAUCGAGACGGAAACCGAGUCUUCAACUGGGGUACCCCGUUUUUCAUCUUUGGAUAUUCGAGGAUCCAAACGUACCUCCAAUUCACAUUUAGGCUUAAUCUGGUCCCCGUGGGGUACCCCCACAUAAUUCUAGAGUAACUAGUUAUGAGGUACCCUACCACCGAGGCCUCGGUGGUGGCGAUCUUGGAGGUUCGGGUACCCGUGAGAUACCCUGAGUGUUAAACACUCGUCCCCGCGGGGCAACCCGUAGAGGGCUCCGCAUUCGGGGUACCCUUUGUAUUGGGGCUUUCGUCCUCUUCGGUUUCUCCUUAUUCUUUGUUACCUCGACCUUAUCUUCUUGGCGCUUCAAAUGACAUUUCUCAUCCAUCUCCACUUGCUGCAACGCCCGGAAACGGGCUUCCCUAUAUGAAAGUGGGUGCUUCUUUUGAAAGGAACGCUAUAACAUGCCCAACCGUAAAUUUUUCUCGAAAUGAGUCAGUGUGUGUUGGUUUCCAAAUGCUCCGGUUCGCAACAUCUCUUGGUGGAAACGGCUCAUACUCCGCCAAAUGUUCGACUUCUCCUUGCUUGAUAAAGGCAAGUUUGGAGGCUACCCUAUCUUGAGUGGAAACAUAGGAAAACUCUUUAGUAAAUUCGGAUAAUAAUUGGUGUAGAGAAGAUAUGCUACCAGCUUUCAAAGAGCAAAACCAUGAUUUCGCGGGGCCCGUGAGUGUGUGUGUAAACAUCCUACACAUGGCACUAUCAUCUACACCCUUGAUAAGCAUUUGGUCGCGGUAUAGCUCAGCAUGGUCCGAGGGAUCAGUGGUACCCGAAUAUUGGGGUAUCUGAGGCAUGGCGAACGCCUCGGGGAGAGCUGCCUUUCGAAUCUACAUAGUGAAUGGCGAUUGGUAGGUCAUUGGCGUUGGAGCAGCUGUGAUGUUUUGCUUCUCGGAGAGGAGCUUCAGUUGGGCUUCUAGGUUCUCCAUUUUUUCCACAAGUUCGUGGGGUACCCGAUGAUGUCGCCGCUAUUUGAGAAGCCCUUUUGGCAUUUAACUUUUCACGGAGAUCCUCGUGGGCACGUUUUGCGCACCUCGUACCCUGGCUGCUACGGGAAUUGCAAGAGGCGGUGGAACGCUCGUCUCAGGAGCCCACAAUUUGAAACUUAGAACGGGUACCCGAUGGCCUAUGCUUUGGCUUGUUGGCCUCGGGUACCACUUUUCUGACCAUAGCUUGGUCGUCCGUUUGAGGUGGUGAAGCUUCUAGCGUCACUGGUGGAAGUGAACUUUCGGGUGCCCGAAAUCCAACCACCCUAAGUAUUGCGUGGGCAAAAUCCUCGAAAUGCUUGUGAGAAAUAGGUUCCUCAACUAGGCGAACUCCUAUCAAUUGUUUGAUACCCUUGCCCUUGCUGAUGCGGGCUACCCUUCUUGCGGGAUCACUACCUUCACUGCUGCUGUCAUUUCUCAUCCUUGUAGGAUCUGCCAUUAAACCUUCGGAAGGUACGUCAGGUGCCAUGUAUUGGAGUACACACAACAACUAGUUUGGUAACCGUGGAAGAGGCUUUUUGUGCGACUUCCCACAGACGGUGCCAAUUGUUUUCAACAGAUUUUGGGGUAAGAAAAGCCAAACCUAUCUAGAACAAUGAAUUUAUAUUUUUGGGGGAGAUGGGGUACCUUACUGGUUUGUUGUGUGCGGUGCGGUGUAUCUGAAAUUCGGGGGAGGUGAGAAGGGGAGAGGGAGUGGUAACAAUGGUGAAAGGUCAAAACCAAGAGAGGUGUCCUUUAAAAUGAGCUACACGCCUGCAAAACAGUGAAAUAGAGGUUAGAGGUGAAGCCGAGGUACCCCGGCGUUCACACUCCGACGCUCAAGUUAGCAAACUCAAGCUUUUAUGGCAAAGACAGCUGGCUAGCCCUUUGUAAAUUAGGGUUUAUGGUUGAAGAAAACCUAUUUUUUGGAGUGUGAGUGUUAAUGGUGAGUGAGAACCUCCUGGAGAAUGAAACCUAGACACCUUUAUAUAUGGAGUACCUCAGCUGCACCGUUAUGUGCAUGUUCGCGGCAUAUCUCAUCCUUUAGAAACGUGGCGCACGUUGGAUAAUGGUCCAAGGUACCUCUGCAGUAGCUGUCGGGUAAGCGGCUGAGGACCACUGUCCUUGGGACAAUGUCCUUCACUUUUGGCAGAGGUUGCAGACGGCUGUCCCCCCCUUUUAGUACGACGUUCUUGAUUCCUAAUUCUGACAAAAUCGAAUAAUAUCUUUUAAGAGAUGGAGACGUUUCUCACGGCGGAUAUUUUCGGUGGAUUCUCUUGCAUCUGAUCUGCCGGGUACCUCGAGUUACGUGGGGUACCUUAAUUUAUGUGGGGUACCCCUAAUUGAGCGGGGUACCUCUAUUUGUGUGGGGUACCUAUAAUUGUGCGGGGUACCUCAAAUCAUGUCGGGUACCUCGGAUUGCACUGAAGUUAUUCCAUUCGUCGACACGUGGCAUUCUGCUAUCUUUCUUAUUUUCCCCCCAAACAACAUUAGGGUAUCUCUAAUUGUGUGGGGUACCUCAAAUCACGCCGGGUACCUCAGAUUGUGUAGGGUAUCUCGUAUCAUGUCGGGUACCUCUAUUUGUCCAGGGUACCUUAAAUCAUGCCGGGUACUUCGAAUUAUAUGGGGUACCUCAGAUUGUAUUGGGUACCUCUAAUCAAGUCGGGUAUCUUUAAUUACGCCGGGUACCUCUAAUCAUGCGGGGUAUCUCUAAUCAGGUCAGGUACCUCUAAUCAUGCGGGGUACCUCUAAUUAAGUUGGGUACCUCUAAUUAUGCCGGGUACCUCUAAUUGCGCGGGGUACUUCUAAUCAAGCCGGGUACCUCUAAUUACGUCGGGUACCUCUAAUUAUGCGGGGUACCUCUAAUCAGGCCGGGUAACUCUAAUCAUGCCGGGUACCUCUAAUCAUGCUGAGUACGUCUAAUCAGACCGGGUAUCUCUAAUCAUGCUGGGUACCUCGAGUUAUUCCGAGUACCUUGAAUUAUGUUGGAGUUAUUCUGGGUACCUUGAAUUUUGCUGGAGUUAUUCCGGGUACCUCAAAUUAUACGGGGUACCCCAGUCUAUGCGGGGUACCUCGAGUUACUCUGGAGUUAUGCGGGGUACCUCUGACCGUGCCGGGUACCUCUAAUCAUGCCGGGUACCUCAAAUCAUGGCAGGUACCUCUAAUCUUGCGGGGUACCUCUAAUCAUGUCGGAUACCUCGGAUUGCACUGAAGUUAUUCCAUUCGUCGACACGUGGCGUUCUGCUAUCUUUCUUAUUUUUCCCCAAACAACUUAUUUAUUUAUUUUUAAAAUUAUCUUCUUCACAUAUGAGAUAAACAUCUAGUCUAUGGAAGGUUCUACCUGCAUUCCUAUCCUUGGUAGAGAAAUCAAAUCAUGGAUCUUUGGGAAUGUACAUGUUUGUACAAAUCUUUGAACCGGAACUCCCCCUUUUUAAUUGAUUUGUAUUCAUCAGCAAUUUAUAGUUUUAUAUUGAUGAUGUUCUUUCUUGUUUCAUACAUACCGAAAUGAUAUAUCAAUCAUACUGUCAUCAGUAAUAAAUAAGAUUCUAGGUUUACAUUGCAUAAUACAUAAUCAAGCUUUAACUUUGCUUUGAAUCUUCUAAAUUAAAACACAUGGGUAUGUACACCCGAAGAACUAGUACGCCAUUAAUUAAAUGCUUAAAACAAACAUAAAUUCAAAAUGAGACAUUUGGUGACAAUGUUUAUUCGCUUGCACAAUGGGUUAACAAAAGUGUCCAUGGUUUGGUAAAUGGUAAAUACAAAUUCUUUUGUGGAUACAUUUUAGUGGCACUUGUAAUUGAAAAGGGCAGAGAUUGAAAAAAUAUAUAAUGAAAAUGGUAAUUCUAAAAAUAAAUAGAUUUAAUUAAGAAAUGGGGCUAAUGAGAUAAAUAGAAGAGGUCAAAUAUCACUACACAAAUAUAUUUUAGAUGCAUAAAAUUCAGUACACAUAGAUUGGAUCAUGUAAAUUAUGGAUCUUCCUAUGUAUAUUUUUUAAUAUACACAAAUUAAGCGGUUGUUAAGAGUGUUUCCAUGCUUGACAAUUAACUAGUAAUAGGCGAUAACUUGCUUGAUUCAUCAAAAUACCUGCUCCAAAUUAAUUAAAAGUCUCAAUCCUAAAUAAAGUCAAUGUGGCAUUACCAAGAUCAUCUAAUUAAUGUCUGCGUCGUUUUCUUAAUCCAAUUAAAAUUUUAUCUACAAAUUAAGACGAGAUCGAUGGUUAAAAAAUUGUACUUAAUUUUGGCUUUAAACUGAUCAACCCGUCUGAAAGCAAUAUGGCUUUUGAAACCAUCAAAGCUCAUGUCACAUACACCUACUCUUUUGUAACAAUUUUAAAGAAAAUUCGGGGAAAAUAAAUCAUGCGUCACAAAGUUCAAGUCAAUUUAUUUGGUUAUAAUUUAUUGAUUCAUUAUUCCUUUUCGAUUUAUUCAAGUCAGUUUAAUUAAUUAAUUCAUAAGAGAUGGGAUUUGAACCCAUCAAAGUACUCUUAUACUUAUUUUUAAUAAUUUUUUCUUUUAUUACUAAAAUAUCCAUUACAAAAAUUAUCACCGAGAACAACAUAAAACCCAAAUUCGUUUUCAAUGUUUGAACUUAACUUUAUUUUGUAGUACAAUGAAAGCGAGAGAGAAACAUUCAUUAAGGAUGAGUAACAAUUAACUAACUUUCCGUUCCACCCAAACAAAUCAAGGUCAAGGAUAUGGCUUUUCAAAAUGACUGGCAAAAUCGUCAUCUUAUUAUUAUUAUUAUUAUUAUUAUUAUUAUUUUUGAAUUCAGAAUUCGAACUGUCUAAAAUACCCGAGGUGGCUAACAUGUUAGAACAGUUCAAGUCAAAUAUGAAUUAUUGAAUUAAUUGUAAACAAGCAUUAAUGUUAGAGGUGGCUAUGCAAAGUAGCAGGGUGAAUGAUUUGAGCGUAAAAAUUGAAUUGUAAGAAUACGUAAAAGUUGAAUGCUUCAAUUCAAUUAGAGUUAACGAGUGGUUGAGUUGAUUUAUUCAGUUCAAAGUGGAGUUCUUUUUUGGGCAUAUUAAAGGGGCUUUGGUUUGGUUGAAUGGAAUAUAGUGGUAUAAAUUAAGGUGGCCAUUCACAUUAAGGUGGGUGAAUUAUUUUUGAAGUUCUCUCGUAACUGAUUGUUGACGUGGCACAACUUAUUUACUGAUAUUUUUAAUCUUUUUGAGAUAUAAUUAAUUAUUAUAAUUUAUUAAUCAGUUAAAAAAUUCAGGCAAAUAUUUAACCAUAAAUUUGUUUUUUUGAUCCAACCAUUGGAUCCUGUUAGUGCAAAUUUUGUCCCAACUUAUAAUAUGGAAAUUUCGACUGAUGACGAUCCCCUUAGGACUUGGGUUCCUCUUUGUUGGAUUUGAUGAUGGUGAGUUUUUCCUUUGGGCUGAUAUUGAUGGGCCUUUAUAUAUACUCUUCUCAGUCCACUUCCUUAGGCAAUCAGAAUGUUCUUGUCUAGUGAUACUCUACAAACACAAGAAAAUGAUAAGAGGGUCGGCUUUUCCGGCAUAAACCCUCCGAAAGUCAAGUCAGUCACCAGACUUUUGGAAAUAUAAAUUUAGAAAGAGAAAGAUUAGAGGGAGAAAGUUAGCAUUUUCUCAUUUUGAGUCUCUUUUUGUCUUACCUUUUAGUGAGAAUAAAAGACAUAUUUAUCGACCAAACUGAUUUGACUUGGGUCCUAAUUAUUUUGAUGACAAAUUUCAUUAUUCUUGUGGCAUUUGGCAACACUUGUCCCCUAGUGCCCAUGUUGAUUGACACAUGGAUAUACAAACUUGUAUACAGAUUAGAGGAAGGAACGUUUUAUCCUUAUGUUAUUUUUACUUAGAUCUUCUGAUCAUAAGAGCCUUCAAACUUAGAAGGUUUGUCCUAGAAUAAGAGCCUAGAACCUCAGCACGUUUUGGACUUUAAAUCCUUGCCACCUAGUUAAUUUAUCCUAGGUGAUUUGUCUUAGGAUAGGAAUCUAGAACCUUGGCUCCUUUUGGGCUUUGAAAUAUUGUUACUUAGGAGAAUCAUUCUAGAUGAUUUGUCCACCACUUCGUGGGCUUAAUUGAGAGGAAAUUUAUUAGAUGGACCUUAUUGAGAUUAAAUUUAUUUGGGCCUUAUUAGGCUUAUUUUAUUUUUGGUCCAACAGAUCCCCACAAGAAUGGCAGAAAUUGUUCCGACGGGGUAGAUGAAUUUACAUGGCAAUUAACAUUACAAUCCCUGUUGCUUCUCAAAAAGUCAACAAUAACAAUAAUAAUACUUAAUAUUUUGUCUCAAUAAUUAUUCCAAUCCUACACUUAAUCCUACCUCCCAAAUAUAGCCUAAUCCCUCAACUUCAUCUCUUUAGAUUCUAUCUCUCUUGUUCACUCUAGCCAAUAACACCAAUAAUAAAUCUCUCUUUUUCAUUUUUUGAAGGGAACUCUCAAUCUCUCUUUAUUUAUUUAUUUUUUUUAAUUUUCUCAACUCAUAUCAAUAUUUAAAGGCCAUGGAGAACCAAAAAAAGCUUCUCAAGUUCAAGUAUCACAUAAUAUUAGCCCUAGUUUUUAUCUCUUGCACUCAUCUCAGUCAUCGUUCCAGCACCAAGCUUCCUAAACAUUUUAGCCUACUUUUGGUCUUUGUUUCUCUUAGUCACACUCUUUAUUGUUAAAAUCAUCGUCUUUGGUAAAACCUCGAUCUCUGCUGCAGAUUCUUCUUCUUUUUCUUCUAGUUAAGCCUUCUUGAUUAUGUUAUGGCCACCUCAAUAAAAAAAUAAUUUUUUAAUUUGGACUUAUAUCUUAAAAUUGGGGUAAGAUAACCGGGCAAGAUGAGUUCGUCCUUAUUAUUGUUUAGGUAAGGUUAUAUGCACUUUGAGUAACAAAAUGGCGGCAGCUACUUCAUCAUUCACUCCAUCGAUCGCCAAACCUACUCCAUCAUCAUCAUUGAAAACCCUAAAACCUGUAGGGUCUAUCUCACUUCGGUGGACCAAAAACCCUAAAGUCCAAAAUAUUUUGUUUGAUGUGUAAUUAUUGUAAAAUUUUGGACUUAGACUAAAUUAAUGAGAAAAUAUAUAAAGGAAAUAAGUGAAGAAUCAAGAGAGCUGUAGUCAUUUCACACAUUGAGAAGACGCUGCGAGAGAGAAAGACAUAGGUAUUUUUUCUUUAAGUUUUCAAUCUUUGAUUUAACGAUCGCAAGAUGAUUUUAACUAUGAUUUCUCCCAAAUUUGGAGGAUAAGUUCCUGACAUCGCCCUCUAUAUUUUUACUGGUGUUGAUCUGUAUUUUAUUCUCUUGGUAGCUGUUAUUUGAGAUACCCAUUUAUUAGAGAAAUAUAUAUUAGAUCUAUUAUUGUAAACUAAGAUUGUUGAGAAUCUUGAUGUUGUUAGCCUCUAGUGUUAUCUGGAGAAAUAUUUGUGCCGUAAUCCCAUUAAUAUAUUGGAAGUUUAUAUCGGACUAUAAUCCCGUGUUUUUUUUUUUUCAAUUUGGGUUUUCCACGUUAAAAUUAGUGUCUUUUGUGGUUGAUUUAUUACUUUGGAUUUGUUAGUUUAUUUUUCUACCUUUUUUUUUUUGUAGUUCACAUCUUAUUUUAAUCACACAAAAAGGAAAAGAAUUUUAUUUCCGUUUAAUUUACAGCUACUUUUGUGGGUCCAUCUGCCAACAAAACCAGAAUUCAAGCCUCUCAAUCUAGGGUUUCUCUAAUCCACCGUGAAGUCGUUGAGAGCUCUCAAAGCUACCAAUGACAAUGGAAACGGCUUCGCUUUGGGCUCAGCUCUCGGCGUUCGGAUGGUGUCUACUCCUACGGUUAAGACACCUCUCUCGCUCGAUUUUGAGACAUCUGUCUUCAAGAAGGAGAUGAUCUCUCUCACUGGCCACGAUGAGUACAUUGUGAGAGGAGAAAGAGAUUUGUUGAAGUUGCUGCCGGACGCAUUCAAGGGGAUUAAUCAUAUUGGCGUUAUUGGUUGGGUUCCCAGGGACCUGCCCAAGCUCAAUUCUUGGGUAGGUCCCUGGGAACCCUAACCUCUAACGUUAAUUUGCUUAAUCCCCUUGAAUGCGUCCGGCGCAACUUGAACAAAUCCCUUCCUCCUCUCACAAUUUACUCAUCGUGGCCAGCGAGAGAGAUCUUCUCCCUCUUGAAGAUAGAUGUCUUAAAAUCGAGCGAGACAAGUGUCUUAACCACAGGAGCGGACACCAUCCGAGCACUGAGAGCUGAGCACGAAAUGAAGCCAUUUCCACUGCCGCUGGUAGCUUUGAGAGCUCUCAACGACUUCGAGGUGGAUGAGAGAAGGAAGGGAUUUUGAUGACGAUGAUGGAGUGGGUUUGGCAAUCGAGGGAGUGAAUGAUUAAGUACCACCGUCAUUUUGUUACUCAAAGUACGUAUAACCUUACUUGAAACAAUAAUAAGGACAAAAUCGUCUUGCCCCGGUUAUCUUACGCCAAUUUUAACAAGUCCAAAUUAAAAAAUUAUUUUCUUGUUGAGGCUUAUUACUGCUUAUGCUGUACGUACAGUAGGUGUUCUUUUUAAGCAACAAAUUAAUUGACAUUGGAUUACAUUUUCUGAGUAUCCGCAAUCAGAAUUGUAUGGCUUGUUUAAUUGUUUUAAAAGUAAGUUCACAUUUGAUGGUCUUGAAGAGGAGUUGAAAGCUGUAUUUUCUUCUCAAGUUAAAGAAAGAUUCAAAGAUUAUAUGAAGAGUACUAGAGAUGAAGCCUUCAAAAAAUUUAAAAUAGAUGGGGAGUGUUAUUUUAAUUGCCCAUCAAAUGUUGAGAAAUAUGUAUGGCAUCAAAUGGUGGACAAAUGGUUGAGUGAGAAAUGGCAGGUAUUAUAUAUUCAUAAUUUUUGUUGCUUAAUUAUUUAUUAAGCUAUAUUCAUGAUUGUUGUUGUUGUUGCUUGAUUAUUUGUUGGCAUGUAUGAUAGUGUUUAAUUGUUGGACUAUUUUGUGUUUGUUUCAUCUUUUCUAUCUUGCUGCUUAAUGACUCAAUAAGAUUUCUUAUUUCUAGUUUUAUUUAGGCAUUUUUAUAUUUAGUAAUUGUAUUAAGUCUGUUAUUUUUUUUUAUUUAGAAAUCUUUUAUAUUGAUUAUUAGAAUCCGAUAAUAAUUACUUUUUUGUUUGUUGAUGUUUUGCUAAAAAAAUUAAAGUGUUUAUCUUUACAUUUGAUUCUCUCUCUAUGUACGGUGAAUUUAAUAAUCUGAUCAAAUGUAGAAGUGAUUUUUCCUUUCAUACUUAUGUUAUAUAUGAUGAAUGAUGAAUGGGUUAGAUUUGGUGUAGGUAAAUCUAAUGAUUGGGUUUAUUUAUAUCCUAUGCAAUAAUUCUAAUUUCAACUUAUUUAAAUCCUAUGCAAUAAUUUUAAUUUCAACGUAGUUAAAUAAUUUUAGUUUACAAUGUUGAAUGUAAUGAAUCAUUUUUUUCUUUUAUGUAGAAAUCUAGUAGAACAAGUGCAUUGAACUGUUACAAACCAUCUAAAGUAGUGCAUACAACUGGAUCGAUUAAAAUGUUGAAGAAGAAAAAGGAAUUGGCAUAUGAUCAUAGUUGUCAUAAAUUUUCUUAUAUUUAUAUUUUAUCAUAGAAGUGCUUUUAAAAGAUUUACUUUGUUGUCAUAAAAUAAUUAUUUUGAUUCUUAAUAUUUUAGUUUUUAUAAUACAAAUUAAUUAAUUAUCUAACAUUAUUUUUAUUAUUGUUAUUUUAUUGAUAGGCAGAGAAAAAUAGGAAUGAGCCUAUUGUUGUACAAAUUUUAUUGAACUCGCAAGUGCACGAAUCUAUUGUAGAAUAGAUCAAUGGUGACGAGUGUCGAUCCCACGAGGAUGUGAAUUUUAAUUAUAUGUAGAAUUAUUUUUCUAUAAAGGUGGUUGGAUUUGUGGUGAAAGUAAUUUAGACUAUCUUAGAAUUUAAAUUGGAAUGGCGGAAUUAAAUUAAAGUGGAAACUAUUAUAAUUGAAGCGCUUGGGUAUCUGGAUCCGUAUCAACAUGCACCAUGGGUUAAAUAUUCCUUAUUAGUGCUAAUUAAAUCAUGAGGGGAAAAUCCACACCUCAUGAAUCACACUCUAAUCAAUAUGGUACUAAGGGCUUAUAGUGCCAAAUAAUAAUAACCUUGUAUUAGGGAGCCGGUGAAAUCAGGGCGGUAUCUAGACAAGAUUAUUAUUAUUUGUCGACGAAAAAUCAAAACAUCCACAAAAAUUAGAGGGGAAGAGAAAAUAAAUUUACCAAGUAAAGCCCAUGACACAUGUUGAGACUCCACCUUCAACCCAAGCUUGAAAGAAAAUUAGCUACUCAUAAUUGAACUAGGGGUAAAAUAGAAAUUUAUUAAAAUACGUAGAAAAUACAAGAUGGAAAAGAAAUUACAGAAAAUGGAGCUAAAAAAUCAAUUCAGAGAUGCCAAAUUAGGGGGGAGAGACCACUUUUUAUAGAUACAUUGAGUAAAUCAUGGUCAUCGGAUUAAAAACAGUUUGGGCGCUCAGGAUUGCGCCACGUCAUCAGUCAACAAUACGCGGUUUGACCACGCGGUUUGAACAAUGAUACGGUUUGACCACAUGGUUUGAACAGUCAAUCGGCUUGAACAAUAACGUGGUUUGGUUGAAAAUAAUCUUGUGUAUAUGCAUGUACUGUACGCGCGAUUUUUGGUCCACUAACAUGCUGUCACGUUACCGAUCAACAGUACAUAAGAAUUUUCUCUAAUGGAAUCGUGACACCUCAUCUAUCAAUGCCACAUCAUCGGUCAAUGCCACGUCAUCAUUCCGUAUGUGUGAACAGUGUCGUGAACAGUAACAUGGACAGUACCGUACAUAUGAACAAUGCCAUUUUUCUUUUUAUACUCCUCAUAAGGUUUUCGGCUAUCCUGAGUGAGCUCUCGUUAUUGUGAAAUGACCAUGAUGCCCCUAAAAUACAUAAAAUACUUAAUUAAAAUAAAACACACAUAAUUAAAUCACAAGAAGCUUAAAUACAUAAAAGUAAGGAUGUUAGUAAGACUUGAAAUGUAAAAUGACGAUUUUCUCCUUUAUAAAUAUACAUUUUUCUAACACUCAACACACCCCCCAACCAGCUUAUUGCUAAUCCCUAGCAAAUAAAGCAAAAACAAAAUUCAAACCCAAAACGAUUUUUUUAAACACUCUUGUUUAUUCAAUCAGACUAAUGAUAGUAAUCAAAUAAAAGUAUAAGCAUUAUCUCCAGUCUAAAGAAACAUAACACCCACAUCCACCAUUCACAUGCAUCAAUCCAGCAGACUUUGUCAAAGUUACUUUCAAGAAUAACAUGUCAAACCCCAAAAUCUCACUGGUAGUAGUGACACUCUCACAAAGAAAUUAAACCUAAUAAAAAUAGUACUCCAAUGAAUGGUAAAUUGAGAGAAAAUAAUAAAGAAAUAAUAUCACACGCUCUCACUGGGAUGAAAGAAAUAUGCUCUUAGCUUAGAAAUAAUAAUCUGAUCUCAAGUCAAACAAAAUGCUAGUCAACUCAAUUUAUUUAUUUAUUUAUUUUUAUGUAUUACUACAUCUUUUUAGCCCAUAUAACUAACUUCUACUUCAGACUAUAGCUCCCUAAAAUCAUGAAGGACUUUUAUUAGGAUGUAACGUAGGCUAAGGACAUGGCUAACAAAUGAAGGAAAUAUAAAAAACAAAAUAUAUGUUUGAGAAAAAGUAGAAAUCUUUUGGAAAUUACAAAGUGGAUUUCACCUAUUAUUAUUUUUUCUUUUUUUUUUUAACUAACAAUUUUUUUGUGUUUGUUUUUGGCACAACUUCACUGAACAAAAUAAUUAUUUACAUUUUUCUCAAAUAUAAAUAGGUGAUGGAGCUUGUAAGAUAUCAGAUAAUACUCCAAAUCGGAGUGGGUCAAAAUGAUAAGUUGAAAAAGAAAUAUAUAUACAUAUAUUUUAAGGCUUAAAAGGGUUAACUAUGGAUUUUUUACAAAAAAGAUGGCUAGAAAGACAAAGUUGAGAGAAAACAGACAUAUUUUUUUAAAGCACUGCAAACAGACAUGGGGGAGAAUUCAAAGCCUUUGAAUCAUAUCUUAGAAGAGAGGGAAUAGCUCUAAGACAUUCUUGCCCUUACUUACAUAAACAAAAUGGCAAAGUUGAGAGAAAACACAGACACAUUGUGGAAACUGGACUCACAUUGCAGCCCAAGCCAAAAUGCCAUUGAAAUAUUGGCAAGAAGCCUUUACAUAUGUUGUAUUCACCAUUAACAGACUGGUAUCACCUGUAGUUGGGAGCAAAACACCCUUUGAAUUGAUGUACUCUUCUAAACGAGAUUACUCUCAAAUUAAAGUGUUUGGCUGUGAGUGCUUUCCUUACCUAAGACCCUAUAAUAAGCACAAAUUUGAUUUUCACACCUCCAAGUGUGUCUUGUUAGGAGUAAGUAUUGCUCACAAAGGAUAUGUACGCAUGGGUCAGUCUGGCAGGAUUUAUAUUUCAGCUAGUGUGAGGUUCAAUGAAAACUUCUUUCCUUUCUCAAAUUAUCCAAAUUUCAACAAAAAUGAGUCCAUGAAUGAAAGUGAUUUUACUACUCUCUCUGAAAAGUUUCAAGUUGUUUCCUACCCUGUCAACAAUCUUGACAAUUUCACACAGCUAGCAGCUGCACACAAUCAUUCUCAAAACACUGCUGGAAAUAUGGAACUUCCCUAAAAUCUUGUCCAAGAUGAAGCACAAAAGACCUUGGAGACUGACACAUUAUCAGGUAACCACUCACCUCACCAACCCUUGUUACAUAUUCCAGAAGACAGUCCAAAUUCACUCCCAGCCACAGAACUAAACACUUAAAACCUUGGUAAACAAAAAGCAUGGCCAUCAUAUCCUAUGAUAAUAAGAUCUAAAGCAUGAAUUUUCAAACCAAAACUAUACUAAAUAUCUACCCAAAUCCAAUCCCCUCUUCCCAAAAACACAUGUGAAGCCUUAAAGGAACCAAAAUGGAAAGAGGCAAUAGUAGAUGAGUACAAUGCCCUGAUGAAAAACAGAACAUGGACCUUGAUACCUAAUAGUCAAAAUUAUAAGUUGGUUAGAAACAAGUGGGUGUACAGAAUAAAAGAGAAUCCUUAAUGGUACCAUUAAUAAGUACAAGGCCAGACUUGUUGCUAAAGGAUUCUUGUAAACACUAGGUGUUGACUUUAAGGAGACAUUUAGCCCUGUAGUUAAGGCUGCAAAAAUUAGAAUUGUUCCGACUUUGGCAGUGAAUAACAACUGGAUGCUGAGGCAAGUGGACAUAAACAAUGCAUUUCUAAAUAGAGACUUGACUGAGGAAGUGUACAUGCCACAGCCUGAAGGAUUUGAAAACAAAAGCAAGCCAAACUACAUAUGCAAGCUGAACAAAGCACUGUAUGGACUAAGACAGGCUCCUAGAGUCUGGUUUGACAAGCUGAAGAGUGCUUUAUACUCUUGGGAUUUUGAAAAUUCUAAGUGUGACACAUCAUUAUUUUUCAGAAGAACAAAAUCAAAUAUAAUUAUUAUGCUCAUCUGUGUUGAUGACAUAAUAAUCAUUGGAAGCAGCAACAAGGAUGUCGAAGAAGUGAUUGUAAAGCUGAGCAAAACCUUUGCCUUAAAGGAUUUGGGUAAUUUAAAUUUCUUACUCGGGAUACAAGUUACCAGAAAUCAAGAUAACAUCAUGCUCUCUCAAACCAAAUAUGUUCAAGAUAUGUUGAUAAAAGCAUAAAUGACUCACUGCAAAGGCAUAAAAACUCCUUUCAGCACUUCAGAAAAGCUAAAAAGAAAUGAGGGAGCCAAUUUUCAUGACCCUACACUUUAUAGAAGUGUCAUAGGAAGCCUACAAUAUUCAGUGCUUACAAGACCUAAGCUUGCCUUCUCUGUGAACAAGCUUAGUCAGUUUAUGUCAGAUCCUAGACAGUCACAUUGGAUAACAUGUAAAAGGGUACUGAGAUAUCUUAAGAAUACAAUGAACAUGUGCCUAAGGAUAAAAAAAGUCAGAAUAUUUUGAUCUUACUGCCUAUACUAAUGCAGAUUGGGCUAGUGAUCUAGAUGACAGAAGGUCAAUCAGUGGCUAUUGCCUAUAUUUGGGUAAUAACUUGGUGGCUUGGAGUUCAAGAAAACAAGGUGUGGUUGCUAGAUCAACUGCAGAGUCUGAAUACAGAGCUAUGGCUGUAUGCAGUGUUGAAAUUACAUGGAUCAGUUCAUUGCUUAAUGAGCUUGAGUUAAAAGUUCAAGGAACUCCAGUGAUUCUAAGUGACAGUACCAGUGUAGCAGCCAUAACUGCCAAUCCUAUAUACCAUUCGAGAACUAAACAUUUCGAGAUUGGUCUUCACUUCAUCAGAGACAAAGUUAUGAAAGGUGAAAUAAAAAUAAGUUUUGUUGCAAGCAAGGAUCAAACUGCAGAUGUUCUAACUAAACCUCUGCCAUACUAUAAAUUUGACUACUUCAGAAGCAAACUCAAUGUCUUUGCAAGACCUUGUGUUUGAGAGAGGGUGUUGAAAGUAGCAGCUGUGAAAAUUCAAUAGCUGACUCUGAUGACAAGUUAGCAUGCCACCUCAGCUACACUCAUUUGCAAUCAGAAAAUGUAGAAGAUUUACUGAGCUGGCAAAAUGGAUUUACUGAAGAAUCUCAGCAAAUGAGCAUGCAAGAAUUACGUUUCUAGAAGCUGAAAAUGAUUGGCUGAUAUUUGUCAUAUUCACAGGUUGUUAUUUGUUCAUUUCCAAAUCUUAGCCCUUAGGCCAACUGUUUCUUCUUUUUCCUCUCUGUAUGUAAAUGAACCUAAGCUUGUAUUUUCAUUCAUUCAAGUCGUUAUCUUUUAUAAAGCAUUUUGUGAUUUAUGCUUUGCUUGCUGUUCAUAAGUAAGUUAUAGCAAAUUUAAGUUGUUGGAUCAUAAACUUGAUCCAAGAUGAAUAAAUUCAAGCCCAACUCAUGCAAGGUUCCAUGAAUAGGUGUGAUUGGUGAGGUUUGAAUUAUUUGUGUUAGGUGUGGUGGGUUUGGUAGGUGAAGAUGAAUGGUUAUUAAUUUUUUAUAAUUUCUUAUUUGAAUGGUUGUGAUUAGCUUGUUUCAUGUAUAAAUACCCCCUCUCCCCUUUGGUUUAAGCAUCAAGUGAAGUAACAAAAUCUCUAAGUUGUAGAGAGUGAAAAAUAAGAGUUGUAGUUGGUGAGGAGUGUUAUUGAAGAAAUAAAAUAGUGUGUUUUUUUAGUGUCAUAUGUGUUAACUUUCCAACAAAAAUUACUGGACAUGAACUUUCCUACUGCUUAAUCUUUCCUGCAGCCAAAAUUAGCUAUAACCAAUAAAAGAAAUUUCAUUGACUAUAUAGCCACAGCCCACAAGCCUGGAUACUGAUGCCUCUGAAUUAUGUUUCUCGAGCGAAUGUGCAGUCCGCUAGCUUACAUCUUGAGGGCUAGUGAGCUGAUCUGCAUGUUACACAAGGACUUGUUUUAGUUUAAUUAAUUACCUGAUCUACAUCGCUCAAGUUCACUUCACCAAAUUAAUAAAUUGAAGCACGUCAAUUUACGAAGAGGGCUGGUAAGCUGAAAUUUUUUUCACGGUAAAAAAAUUAAAGAGGAACUAAUUAACUAUGAACAAUUGCAUUGAUAAACUUUUAGUUUAAUUAAUUACCUUGAGGAUGCAUUUGAUUAUUUUUACAAACAUUAAUCUAAUUUUAUGUUUGGUGCAAACAAAAUGAGUUAGGAUAGCAUGUCCUGCCCUACAUCUUUUUUUUUUUUUUUUUAAAUCUGGACCCGCGCUUUAAUAAGAUAAAUGUAAAACUUUUUCCCAUAAAGAUGGAAACCUUAACUAUGAACUAUUACUUAGCAUAAUGUUAUAUAAACAUAUAAAUAAACACACAUCUAAUCGCUUCUUAUUGAUAUCACAACAACUUACAUUCUGGGGAAAAAAAAAAUACUAAACCCUCAGGGUAAUAGACAUUAUCACAUCUGAUCACUUCUUAUUGGAGAUACAAAAACAUACAUUCAGUAUUGCAAAAGCCAAAUUAAUCAUAUAAAGAAGCAGAAAGGCGUGGAGUAAGAAGCACUUUAAGUGGAGUAGCUUUAGCAUAGGUCAAGGAUUUUGCCUCUUCCAUGUCAACUGGUGCAUCUGAUGGGGUUGCAAAAUCAAACCCAUGUAGUAAUGAAGCAAGUAUUAGUGGCAUAACUUGAAAGGCAAACGAAAUUCCAGGACACAUUCUUCUACCACUUCCAAAUGGUAUAAAUUCAAAAUUCUGUCCCUUCAGAUCAACGUCCUUGUAUUUUGUAAGAAAUCUUUCUGGCAGAAAUUUACAAGGCUCCUCCCAAACUCCUGGAUCACGCUGAAUCUUCCAAGCAUUAACAAUAAGUUGUGUGCCUGCAGGGACAUGGUAACCACUGAUGGUGCAGUCUUCGAUAGACUCGUGAGGUAGUAAAAGUGGCGCAGCGGGGUAUAAACGCAGUGUCUCCUUGAGGACGACCUGCAAAUGAGCUAAAUUUAUCAUGUCUGAUUCAUUCACUUGUCUAUUUGUACCAACAUGAACGUCUAGUUCAUUUUGAGCCUUCUCUAGAACAUCGCGGUUGUUGAGAAGUAGGGCGAUAGCCCAUGUCAAUGUUACUGCGGUAGUGUCUGAAGCUGCUAAGAUUAGAGACUGCAAAAGUAGGAGUCAGCUCGAUUAUAUAUAUAAAAUAGCUUUUUGCCAAUUGACAUGUUAUCAAUAAUUUAUGCAUUAGCUGUGCUUAAGUUUUUUUCAGGACAAUACCAGGCAUAUAGCUUUAAUAACAGUGUCAGUGUCAUCGCCAUCAGGAAGCUGCUUUGUUUUGUCAUCAAACAAGGACAGCAUCACAUACAUAAAGUCUUCAUCUCCCUUAACCUCGCUAGAACCUCUUUUGCUCUUAUGCUCAUCCAACCAUCCUUGCAAAACGAGGUCAAAUUCUUUAGCUGUCUUCUUCAUUAAUUUCUCGUAUCCGCCGAUAUCCAGCCAUCUCAGAAACGGAAAAGCGUCAGACACCACAAACUUACCAAACAAGUCAAAAAAGUCGGUCGCAUGCUCUUGAAAAUCAGAACUGUCUUGUGAAGUGUAACGUUUUCCUGCAAUUAUUCUCAUGAUAAUAUCAAGUACAAUCCCCUCAAUCCAGUGCUUCAUCUCCACUGAAACCUUAUGUGAACUGCUCCUUUUGCAAUUCUCGAAUAACCCUUUGAUUGAAGCUUUCACUUCAGACUCUCGUACAUGUUUCAGCUUCUGAAGUUGAUUGUUUGAUAAAAGCUCAAUCGUGGCCAUCUUGCGAGACUCUCGCCAGUAGUUGCCGUAUGGGCUGGCAGCAAUGGCCAAAAAAUUGUACCCUAAGAGAUCCAUGGCCAUUGAUCUGGGACGAUUUGCAAAGGGUUUGUCGUUGAUGGUGAAACAUUCUUUGGCAAUUUCCCAAUUGCUGACCACUAAAGCUCGAUUCAAGCCCAUUUUCAUAGUGAAUAUUGGACCGUAUUUAUCAGCCAUGUCGCCCAAAAGUCUAUGAGUUGGCUCUUGCCCUCCAAAGAGAUGUAAAUGGCCAAUCAAAGGCCAUGCUCCCCCAGCCACUGGUGCUUGAUGAGGAGCUUGUGUCUUUUUUGUUCGCCCAUUUAGUGAAAUCAAGAGUAAAAGUAAGAGAAAUAUUACAAAGCCUGAAAUUAUUGCAAGAACAGUUGAUUCUAGUGUAAGAAAAAUGGCCAUUUCUAAUUGCUUUUUGCUGGCUCUGAGACUCUGAUCUGAAUGAAGAGGUUACUUCAAAUCAAUGUCUGGUAUAUAGAUAAAAUUUAAGAGCAUGUAGCGUAAGGUCUGCAGUAAAAGUUUCGUCUAGUCAAUGAUUAUAAGAUAAUUACAAAAUUGGUAAUAUACCCUUAAAAUGCUUUAAACACUUAUUUUAAUAAAAUUUUAUAUAACUAAAAUACUUAUAAAGUAAUUGUACUAUUAAGGAAAAGCUUAUAAAUCAAACAAAAUAUAUUUUACUUUUCCCAAUUUCAUUAAUUUGAGUCUCUGAAUUCUUAUAUUUACAAAUAAUUCCCAUACCUAGGGAGAGACUCGUCUAAGAUAUAACAAAAUUCAAACACUUUUUACUUUUCUAGUCAGUUUGUUGCUUUGUGAAAUCAAGGGAUGCUUCUAAAGUCUUAGAAAAUGACGGUUUACUACUUUAAUCCAUGGCUAACAUAAAAAUUCGACGACCAAGUCAUUUUAUUUUUCAUUUUCCAAUCCAAAUUCAUGACUCAGGAAUCAAAGUCUUGCAAAUUUUUUUUUUCUUCUGUUAGGUUAGAAAUGUGAAUUAUGAAGGAUAAUUUUUGCUCAUUCUUUGACUGAAUGACCAUCAAACUUUGCCCUAUUGUUAACCAUUGAAACAAAUGAUGAUAGAUUAAUAUUGAGAAAAAUAAUUAAUUCAAAUAAAAUUUAAUAUUUAUGUGGGAUGGAGAAUAACCCCUCCAUUGAGUUGGUUGGCAUUUCCUUCUCUUGACGAUGAAAUGAAAAAAUAGUCUUUAUUUAAUUGAUAUAAAAUUAUUCUAGUAUAAAUUAUUAUUACUAUUAGUAAUUAAAGGAAUAAUGGAUAGAAAUCUUGAAGCAAAUCUUAUAAUUCAUAAACAAGGAUCUAGGGGUGGGCACCAUAAGAUUCGGUUCUUAAGAAUAGAACAAAAAUCAAAUCAAAUUUUCAAACCAUACCGAAAUAUUCUGAAAUUUAGUUUAAUUUAAUUUGAUUCGGUUCGAACAUUAUUUUCAUACAACAAUUUAUUUUCACUUAAUUUUAUUAGAUUUUACAAUUUUCAUAUUAUUUUACUAGAUUUUACAGUUUCCACCUGUAUUAACUAGCAACUGUACAUUGAAUGACUACCUAGGCUUCGUUUUAAUUUUUUUUUCUCACAAUCAAUAAUUAAAUUGUUAAUUACAUCCAACUAUCAAACCGAGUAACCAGCCAUGCACGUCAAAUUAAUCAGAGAGUAACUAAUUGCUAUUAUAAAAUACAAAGCACGUCUUUAUCGCCUCUUUAUUCUUCUUAGAACAGUGAAAAGAAAAGUCAAAACCUAACAAUUUUGCAUACCAGCUGAAGGUGUCAGUAAAGAAAGCAACUUCAUAAAUACAUAUCCAAGCACCCACCAAUCGAAAAGUAAGAGUCAGGAAGAGCACUUUGAAUUUAUUGCAAGGUGAUUCCAAAUUUCCAAUCUUACGCAUCCAGCGCGUGCCAGAAGAGAUAGAUAAUAUUCAAAAUUACUAUGCCUGACCCUGACAGCUUGAACCGCGAGUGAGUGACGAGCGGCAGCCGGCGAAGAUGACAUGAAAAAAUAUGGCCUUUCUUUAGUUGAUCUGUAAAUAUUUUGGAGUAAAUUAUUAUUACUGUUAUUGAUUUUAAAAAAUAAAAUUAAAGGAAUAUUAUUGGAUAUGAAUCUUGAACCAGACCUUAUCAUAUCCACGUAUCUGCCUCCGGUCUUGGGUCCAUUCAUCAAAAUUCUAGAUUCGCUCCAACUCCAUUUUAAACCUAUUUAAUAAAUCCAGUCCAUUUAAUUAAAAAAUUAAACCUAGAAGAGAAUCAAAAUUCCAAACGAUGAAAAAGAAAUUAAAAAAAAAAUACAAAACUAGUUACUUUUGACACUGCUCUAAAUCUCCUUAAACCCCUCUUUAAACAAAAUUACCUAAAUAACUAAAGAUAAAUUAGUUCUUUUUUUUAAUCAAAAUUCAAUUAAAUGCUAAAAUAAAAUUUUCUUUUAAUUAUAUAUUACACCCACCACAUUUCAUAAUUUAUAUUUAGAGAAAAGAAUAAUUAUACCCACAAAGUUUAGAGAAAUGGUCAUGAAGACCCCUAAAUUUUCAAUAAGGAACACAAAGAUCUCUUUUUACUAUAAUAUCCUUUGAAUAUAGUAAAUAAUUUUUUUUAACAUUUUUAAUAAAUGUAACAAAUAUAAUAUAAAUAAUUAAUUUGUCUAGUAGAUUGCAAAAUAAUAAAAUAUUUUUAAUAUUAAAUAUAUAAAAUGUAUAUAUUAUUAUGUCUAUUUUAAUACUGUAUUUCUAUUUUUGUAAAACGUUGGAGUCAAUUUAAUAGAACCGAAGAGUAUUAUGGUUAGAAGAAGUUUUAGUGUCUCUUAUUGAAAGUUUAGGUUCUUCAUGUUUGUUUCUCUAAACCUUGAGAGCGUAGCUAUAAUUUUUCCUUAUAUUUAUAUUUUAAACAUUAACUGAAGAUAUUUUUUUUCUUUUUGUGAAAUCUUUAAAAAUUUAGAAUUAUUUUAAAGUAAAAUUUUAUGACAAGAUGAUUGAUUUUUAUUUUAUAAGUUAGUAUUUUAUAAAUUAAACUUGCAAUAUUCUAGAUAAAAAAUUUUAAAAGGUGUUAAAAAGCUUCGCUCAUAGUCUUUAUCGUUGUUUGCUCCAUAAAAAUUAGAGUUGGAUCCCUUACCAUCACACAUACUUUUCUUUUUAAAUUCUUAAUUAAAUAAAUUUAUCUUUUUAUAUAUAUAAAGGAAAAAGGACAUCUACCCUCUAAAGUUUGGAAAAACAGUCGAAAACACUCCCAAGUUUUUAAUAAGGCACACCAAGACCCGCUUAUGAUACUUUGACUCUAUAAACUCAAAAAAAAUUGACCCCAAAAUUUUAUAAUAAAUAGAAAUAUAAUAGUCAAAUAAAUAAAUAGAAAUUAAAUUAUUUUGAAUAUUAUAAAAAUAAUUUUAAUAUUAUUAAUAGGGAGAUAUAUUGUUAAUUAUUUAAUUAUACAAUAUACUUAACCCAAAGAUUUAUUUAGGAUUUCUAUAAUAAAUAUAAAUGUAUUAUUGAAAUAAAUAUAAUAAUUUAAUAUUUAAUAUUAUUUUAAAUGUUAAAAAUAACUUAAUAUUAUUAGUCUUCUAGAUUGACUAUAAUUUUUCUAAAUACUAAAUUCAAAGGAUAUUAUAGUCAACAAAAGGUUUUGGUGUUUUCCUUUUAAAAAUUUGGGGAUCUUUGUGACUAUUUUCUCAAUUUUUAUGAGUGUAGGUGUCCUUUUUCUUAAAAAAUUGAAUUUGUUUUCAUUCCUUCUCUAGGGUGUAGCAUGGCAUAGAGCACAUGUACGUUCACCAAUGGAAGCACGAUGAAGAACUCAACACUAGGUUGAACUGCUUUUGUGUUGAAAAUAUAAGUUAUUAUAAUAAAAUUUUCAAAUCUUCGAAGUUGAAAGCAUUUAUAAUGGAAACUCUUUUACCAUUUAUGAAUGGACUUAAUUGAGGAGAAAAUAAGCGAUAACAAGAGUUUGUGUUAACAAGGAGUAAGUCAAUAAGAAAAAUAUAUUUUGUAUUACUAAGAGUUGGAAAAACAGAUAAAGAAAAAAAAAGGAUGUCGAUAUUAUACUAAAAAACACUGUAAGAGCGGAGUUACAUAAGUCUGAAUUUUAAUUAAGGAUAUUUUGUAAUUAUAAGAGAUUAAGAGUGUCAUAAGAAAUUUAUAUUAUUUAAAACAUUUUAAUAAGGUAAAUUAAAAAAAAAAAAAAAAAAAAAGAGAUUUAAAAGGUUCUUAGAGAGUGCCAAUAGUUCAACUCUAGAAAUUAACAACUUCAAAUUAAUUAAAAGUCUCAAUCGUAGGUGAACUCAUUGUUGUCAUCAUCCAAAUAGUUCAAUUAAUAUUAGUGUCGUCUCUUAAUCCAAUUAAAAUUCUUGCUUGAAAGAAGAGAUCGAUGGUCCAAAGUUGUAUUAAUUAAUUUUGACUUUGAACUUAGCAUGGAGGAGAAUUAAUCAAGUUGUGUGAAUAAAAUAUGGUCUUGGCUCCUUCAAGGCUCAUGUAUGUGUCACAUACGUCUAUUGUUAACUUUUUUUUUAUCAAUUAAUUACUUGAUUAAUUAAGGCUUACGUGUCAGACGCUACUCCCCGUUUAAACAUUUACGUAGUCUUUUUGAUUAAUUGAUCAAUUCAGAAGUCCUUUCCAAUUUAUUCAAGUGAAAUGGCUAGUAAGGCUUACAUUCACAAUUUUAGCAUUUUUGAUUUAUACAAGUCAAUUUAUUUAAUUAAUUGAUUAAUUGAGAAUGUGAAUUGUUUGAAUGCCUAAGGUGGAUAACAUGUAAGAACAGUUCUAGUCGACAAAAUUUGAAUCGCCAAUAGAGGGGGCUUUACAAAUUAGUAUUAAAAUCAUACUAGUAUAUGUUUUUUUUUAUUUAAUGUAGUAAGAUAUAUGGUACGUUUGGGAUUGAGGUUAGACAUCUGUAUCUUAAAAGAUACAACAUUAAAGUGUUUGGUAAACACUACCUGCUGUAUCUUGAAAACUAUGUUGAUAUGAUUUUUCACUUAUAUAAUAGAAAAUCUAUUAUAUCUUUAAUAAUUUUGUCAAAAUUAUUAUUUAAAAUUUAUAUUUACUAUAUAUUAUUAAUUUUUUUUUCAUAAUUAUAACUUUUUUUAAGCUACAGCACCUCAAACCAUAGUCAAUAGACUCGUACUGGUUUCGGCAACUGAAAUCGACUACUCAGAUAUCCUAUAGAUUUAUUGACAUUUUCCUCUUAACAGAAAUAAAACGCGUGCAUAUCUUUGAAUUAGCUUGUUCAAUUCAAUUAAUGUUGACGACAGUGAAUGGGAUCUCGGUUGUUGGAAUUGAUUUUAUUCAAACUGAAUAAAUCAAGAGAGGAUUGUGAAGUGAGAGUGAGAAAUGUGGAUUUCUCCCACUCCAGUAUUUACUUCAACAUUUUAAGGGAAGAUUGUGAAUCUCACUUCAUGGGCUCCACUCAUUUUUAGAGUGGGGAGUGGGAGUGGGACUCCCAUGGGGAGAGGUGGGAGUAGAUUUCCACUCCCACCUCUUCCUUUUAUACCCUCCUUUUAUUAAAUUUAAUAUUUUAUAUUUAAUAAAAUAAAAUAAAUAAUAUUAUAUUUAUUUAAAUAAUAUUAUUAUAUUUAUUUAAUGUUAAUAAUUAAUAAUAAUAAAUAGUUUAUUCUAAGAAAAUAUUAAUUUGGUACUAAAUAAUAUUAUAUUAUUAUUUUAUAUAAUAAUUAAUUUUAUAUAAUUAUAUUUAACAAAUUUAAUAGAUAAUUUAAUAUAAUUAUAUUAAAUAAAAUAAAAUAAUGUUUCAUUUCAUAUUUACCCUCAUUUUAUUAAAUUUACUAUAAUUAUAUUAAUAAAAUAAAAUAAUGUUUCAUUUUAUAUUUACCCUCCUUUUAUUAAAUUUACUAUAAUUAUAUUAAUAAAAUAAAAUAAAUAAUAUUAUAUUUUUUAAAUAAUAAUAUUAUAUUUAACUAAAUAAUAAAUUGGUUUGAUUCUAAGUGAAAAUUACUUAAAAAUAAUAUUAUUCAAUUAAUAGAGAAUUAAUAAUAUUACUAUAUACUAUCUUUAUUUGAAAAUAUAAUAUUAUUAUAUUUAUUUAAACAUAAUAGUAUUAUAUUUAUUUAAUAUUAAUAAUUAAUAAUAAUAAAUAGUUUAUUCUAAGAAAAUAUUAAUUUCGUAUUAUGUUAAUAGUAAAAAUAUUUCAUUUAUAUUGCCCUUAUCAAUAAUUUUUAGUUUACAUAAUUAAAAUUAAAAUUAAUAAAAAAUUGUGAUGUACAUAAUUAAGAAUAUUAAUAAUUACUCUAAAUUUACAAAUGUAAUAAAAUAAAAUUUUAUUUAUCAAAUAUAUUUUUUAUUAACUUUGUAAUUAAAAACUAUAAUUCCUUAAAUAAGGGUAAAAUUGUAAUUUGAAACUAUUUACCCCUAAUCCAAGACAAAGUAAACACAUAAAUUAGAUUCUAAUCUCCAUUCCAUGCUUCUAUUCCAGUGUAAGUAAACAAACUACUUCCACUCCCACUCCACACUCUCAAUCAUAGGAUUACCACUCCAAUCCAAAAUGUAAAUGCUCAUUUAGUACCUUUUUUUACUCUCUUUUCUCUCUAAAAAAAUCAGAAUUUAUCAUUUAUUUGUUACUGUAGAUUCUCUUAUCUUCCUCUUAUUUGUUAAUUUCCUUAUCAAAUUAAGAUGUUUUCUCUCUCUUUUCUCUUUUUCACUUGUUAAAAAAUUUAUCAGCGCAUAACCCAAUCUAACAACAAGCUACAUUUGUAAGCUUAUAUUAGAGCCAAAAUUAAAAGUUGCCAAGAUUUUAAAUUCUAACAAAUAAUGAUUCAAUCUACAUUAAAGGACAAAUAAGGAGACAUUUAGAAAACAUUAAUUGAAAACUAAGUAUUUCAUAAAAUAAUAGAGUUUAUAUUUUAUUUUUAAUUUUGUCCCUCAUUCAACUAUAUUUUUUCUUUCAAUAGGAGUUAGAGAUUUGUUUUAUAAAAUGAUUUAAUUUUAUAUUUCCUGAACUAAUUGAAAUCAUUAGGAGGUAAAAACUUUAUUACUGCUUUAACAUAGUAUAAAAAAUAUUAUGAUUUGAUAUAAUUGAAAGAAACAUAUAUCAAUAUAUAUUAUAACAUCGUCACUAGUAUUAGAAAGUUGCAAAAUGGAACAUAGUAACUAUGUUAUAACAUUGUCACUAGUAUUAGAAAAUGGAACAUCAUCAAGUCAUAUGAAUAUAUGGUUUGGUCUAAUUGCAAAAUGGAACACAAUAACAAUUAACAACAUUUUCAACUAUAACUUUCAUGACUUUUAACGUCACAGUCAUAUUUACUUUUUUUCUUCUAAUUAUAUUAAAUAAUUCAAAUAUAUGACAUUCUCUAUCAAUAAAAAAAAUAAUUUCAUAAUAAUUAUUUUAUGGUUUAAUUUUAAUAAUUUAUAUUAUAAGCUUAUUUGUUAAAUAUAUGUAUUUCUCUAAGAGUUUUGAUAUUUGUGUUCUUUUACUCCUUUAUAUGCACCGAUAUUCAACAAAUAUUUAUCAUAAAUUUAUAAAUUAGCCCAAACUCAUUAGAAGUCCUAGGUCCGCCCCUUCAUUGAAAGUUAGAAAUCUCAUCUCAAGAACCCUACAGAUUCCCCUACUGUUGUUAUAAAAGAGUCUGUUAACUCCAAUUGAACUCGCCAAUCCUACUAUUUAUGUUAUAACUGAUAUGCAUGCUAAAAGAAUUGUAUAGAAUUUAUAAAUGGAACUGAUAGCAUGAACCUACUAAAAUCUUAAAAUUACUGGAAUACACACACACACACCGCUCAAUCUUUCAUCUGCUGAAGGAUCCUGAUCAAAUGAUGUUGAUAUAGACUGUUUUGUCUCCAUCGUGUGCCGCCUUUCAUUGAAUUAAAAGAAACCCAGAAGAUGAAUAUCAAAGAAAACAUGACUGUAGCUGAAACUAGCUAUGACCAAUCAAAUGAAUAUUCAUGUGAUAUAUAAUCACAAGCCUGGACAGUGAAGCCUCUGAAUUAUGUUUCUCUUGAACAAAUGUGCAGUCUGCUAGCAUAACAGGCCAUGGUGAUAUACCACUUUCUGAAACUAGGUAAAUGCAUUUCAAUCCAUUCCUGAAUGGAAGACAAUGAGAUGCUUAUACGUUUCUAUAAUCAAUUGUUCCGCAAGUAACAUGUAGUUCAGAAGCUAUAAAUUACCACAGGUACUUUGCGUUACUACAUAUGUACUUGUUUUAUUUUAAUUAUUAAUUACCCGAUCUGCAAUGCUCAAGUUCACUUCAAUUCAUAAAUUGAAGUAUGUCAAUUUAUGAAAGAGCCGCAGGCUGAAAUUUACGCUUGCAAAAAAUUAAUGAGACACUUAUCAACGAUGAUCAGGUAUAUUUAUACAAUAUUUUACCUUGAGGGUGCAUUUGGUUGAGUGAUAAAAGGCUUGGGAUUGAAUUAUUUUUACAAACUUUAAUCUAACUUCUUGUUUGGUGCAAACAAAAUGAUUUAGCAUAUAAUCCUAGCCCACACUUUAUUUUUAAUAAAGGAUCUGCACUUUAAUUAAGGUUAUAUGUAAAAUAGUUCUGUGACAUACUGACAAUAACAAAUUGUGCAUAUAAGCUUUUCAUGAUCGUGCAUACCAGGCAUAAGGCUUUAAUAACAGUGUCGGCAUCGCUAUCAGGAAGCUGCUUUGCAUUAUCACACAGCAAGGACAGCAUCACAUAAAUGAAAUCUUCAUCUCCCUUAACUUCGCUAGAACCUCUUUUUAUCUUAUGCUCGUCCAACCAUUGUUGCAAAAUAAUGUCAAAUUCUUUAGCUGUCUUCUUCAUCAAUCUCUCAUUUCCGCUAAUAUCCAACCAUCUCAAAAAGGGUAAAGCAUCAGACUCCACAAACUUACCAAACACUGUAAAAAAGCUGGCUGCAUGCUCAUGCAAAUCGGUACCCUCCUGUGAAGUGUAACGUUUUCCUGCAAUAAUUCUAAUAAUGAUGUCAAAUGUUGUGCCCUCAGGCCAAUGCUUCAUCUCCACUGAAACUUUACCGGUAGUGCUAUUUUGGCAAUCCUCGAAUAGCCCUUUGAUUGAAGCCUUCACUUCAGAUUCGCGUACAUGUUUGAGCUUCUCAAGGCGAUGGUUUGAUAAAAGCUCAACAGUGGCUAUCUUACGUGUUUCACGCCUGUAGCUGCCAUAUGGGCUUGAAGGAGUGGCCAUAAAACCCUAAAAUCUCCAUAGCCAUUCUUCUAGGCCGAUUUGCAAAGGCUUUGCCGUUGGUUGGAAAACACUCUUUCGUAAUUUCCGAAUUGCUGACGACUAAAGCUCGAUUUCAAAUUGCAUGUGGCAAUUAAUAAAAUAAAUUUCAACUGCAUAGAUUAUUUUCAAUUGUCUAUCCCUGGUAAAAGCAGAGAAUUUCCAACAAAGAUUGUCAUUGAAAAUAUUACUUUUCUAACUAUGAAUGCAUUAUCUAUAAUGGAAUAACUCAAUUGCAAAUAUUACUUACUUCUACUAAUAUGUAGUAUUUUCGAUUCCAAAAAUCAAUUAUAGCAACGUGUAUUGCCAACUAUAGUUUAGUUCUUUUGGCUAUUUUUGCCCUCAAAAUUAAUGUAUUUCCAAUGGUUAUAUUGAAUCAAAAUUGCUAAUAGAAAAGCUACCGCAAAAGUCAAUUGAAAAUAGUAUUUUUGAUGACUCAAAGUGAUCAUAAAAAUUAUUUAUUAGUUGUGUGUCCAUAUUAUUUCUAAUACGCAUUUAUCCUUUUUCCAUGGCCUCAAAAAAAGCAUAUUUAUGGUGGUCGGUUGGGAAAAAAAGUAUUUCUACCCAAGGUAUUUCACUUGUUUUGACAGUAUUCAACAAUCACAAAAAGUAGUUUUGCUUGUAGUAUUACCAAAUACUUAAUUGAUUUUCUUCAUAAUUGAAAUACAGUUAAUAAUAAUUAUUUUAAAAACUACAGUAUUACCAAACUAGCUCAUAGGAAGAGCCCAAGCGUUUAGAUCUCAUAAAGAUAAGAGAAAUCAUCGUUGAUACUUGUUUAUUGUAUUUGUGUUUGGCACAUAUUAAUUUAAUUGUUUUGCUGCAGUAGCUAAUUAUGUUCUUCAUCUUUUUGUAGUAAUUCUAUAUAGAGGUAGCUAGCAGUUUGGUAUGGCAAGAAGACACAAUAAAUAAGUCAAGUACUGGUAUUUCGCUGAAUAUUCAUUAGGACGUCUACAAUAAAGUGACGGUUCUAUAGUAAUAGGGAGUCUGAACAUAUUAUAAGUAUACAUCGACUAUGUUGCAUAUAUUAACAUGCACUCUUAGUGAAUUAUAUAAACUCUAAACAUGACCGAAUGGAUGUAAGAAUUUAAACUCCAAACCACUUAAAAAUCACCUUGUAGUCUACUUUUCCAUAGUUUUAUUUUUCUUGUUACAAGUUACAACUGUUUAUAUGACUAGUAAAAAUAGAGUGUUAUGUUUUUUUAUUUCCUUAAAUAUAUAAUAUUAGGAUAAUUUAUUUGGGAAACAUUUAAAUUUAUUUUAACUGGAUUUAUCUUAAUUAGUUUAUUAUUUUAAUUGGGACAGCUCCCUUGUACCCCCUUCCAAAAACAUGGCAAAUGGUAAGAUCGUAGCUAUCUUUUCAUCUCUGUAAGUUGCUUGUUGAAUUAUAUUCGACCUAUCUUCCCUUUCCCCUUAGUUAAAUAUGAAUGAUGAUAUAGCUUUUGUAAUUAAAUUUCAACCGUAUAAUGUUAUACAUGUAUAUGUGAUAAAAUAUUAAUAAGAGUUGAGUACAACACUAAAUUUCAAGUCCUCACCUAAUUGUGACCUGUAAUUUUACCCCUUAACAGUUGUAGGAACGGAUGACUUCGCUUGUUAGAACAAUUUUUAACUCAGGAAUCAAGCUAGAUCAGGAAUACAUAUCCUUUUGCUUUUUCACCAAUAAGAAAAUGAUUUUUCUAUUUAUUGAUAUAUGAUUUAUUUCGACAGAAAGGAAAAAAAAAUCAACCUGAAAAGCUCACAAAAAUACCUAAAUAAAACAUAAAAAUAUAAACUAAACUUCUAAUUAACUUUAAUUUGACUAGCUGUAUAGAAAUCAAAAUCCACAGCUUAUAUAAUAAUCCACAUCUAUAAACCGUUGAGCUUCUAACGUUAUGGCCAACGCCAAAGAUCUGUAAAAACAGUGACUCCGCAAAAGCACUAAAAAUAUUUUAGGCAUAGAUAUUAGAAUUAGCAAUAACAAGAAUUUACUUAUGAAGAUGAUCAAAAUGCUAAACUUACUUUAUUAGUCCUGAUAUCUCCGUCAUUAUGAAUUUAAGUGAAUCGACAUUCCCUGCCUUGACCAUAUCUACAUAUUCGCCUGGUACAACAGAAACAAUGAAUUUCUAACUCAAAUUCUCAAUGAAAACAUUAUAUAAAUUCAAUAAAUUCUAUUUAUUUAUUUAUUUACUUUUCUUUAUUAUUUGAUAAACAUACCUUUAGCUGGAUCGUAUCCAAGGUCAAAAUUGCCAUGUUCUAAUAGCUUAUCGACAACAGCUAUCCCAUCGAAUCCUGCCGUGGAAGCAAUUGAGUAUACAGGCAUCUACAGUUACAUGCUAAAAUUUUUACAAACGAUUUUUUUUUUUUUUUUUUAACGAAAAAGAUAAAAUCCAGUACCCUUAGCACAUGUUGUGAAAGCUGAACACCACGCUUUUGAUCAGAUUUUGCAACUUGCACUUUGUCCAAUUCCUUUGAGGCAUGUAGAAGUGCCACCCCUCCACCUUCAAUUUUAUCAUAUUGCAAGCACUAUGAUUCAUCAAUUAAUCCAACAAGAUAAGAGCUAAAAAAAAAAAAAAUGUAAAGAUAUAAAAAAGGCUCUAAUAAUUACCAGGUACUGUUCCACUGUCCGUUGCAGCCUUGGCAUCUUCUAGGGCGUUUUGAACUCUUUUAUAGUUUUUAUCCACUUCCGCUUUACUAGCUCCACCAAUCUUUAAAAAAAAAAUGAAUAAAAACUCAUCCAAAUAUCUUUUCAAUAAGGCGUUGAGCAUCCAAAAUAAAUGUAUAAUUCCAACCAAACCUUAAAAACAGCUAGAUUACGAGAAAGCUUUGCAAGUCUCUCUCUUGCAAACUUUACUUCACAAUCCUCUUUGCUCUCAUUAAUUUUAGAUUUCAACUGUAGCAACGAUCAUAAGACCAUAUUAAAUUGUUAAUAAACAUAAUGGAGAACCUAAUGCAUUGUUGAAUAACAUGUAUAAAGAAAAGAAACCACAACUAACCUCUUUGAUAAGAAUCAGUUUCAAAUCAACCACAAUCAAGACAAUGACAGCAAGGCAAUCAUGAACUCUACAAAAGGAAGGAAUAAAUUUUCCAGCUAAAGGUUUACCAAGUUCAAGACUUGACAACAACGGCUAGUAUUAGUUUUAGCCUAAACUUUCUCAAAUCACAAUCUUCGUGGAUAUAAUAGGAAACUCUCCUAUGUCAAGCCAUAACAUAGUCCUAAAAUACCUCCUUAUCUUUGUAUAAAUUGUAUAGGAUGAUGUAAAGAAAAGGUGUGAAGAAGAAAUAAUAUUUUCCUUCAGCUAUUUAAUCUAUAUCAAAUUAUCUUUUACUCUUCACAUCUCUCUUUGAUCUUUGCCUGGCUGCCAAACCCACCAAGGAUAGCUGUCUCAUUAUGUGAUGCUCUAACCUGUAACGAUGGAAAGGGCUAAGUACAUAGUUUCAACAAAAGCUACCCAUGACAUAGUAUAUAAUACAAAGCUUUUGUUUGGCAUUGUGGAACAGUGGUUUUAAAAUCGAACAGAAAAAAGCUCAGAUUUUUCAAAUUUAUUGGAGUUGGGUAAACAUAAUUUUUCAAAUUUCACAGUUUGUUGAAUAAUUCACAUAUCUAAUUUAAUGUAAAUUGCUUGAAAAUAUUUCAUAACCGUACAUCUUUAAAUGAUAGGUGUAUAGAUUUACCAAAUAUUUUAACAAUUUUGCUUAAGUUUGGACAACAAUACUAAACAGAGCCGAGCCGAAUACAAAACACAACAAUACACACACACACACAUAUAUGAAUCUUACCUCUUUGCUUGAGCCAAGCAUUUGUGGUACAAAAUUCACACGGUCUUCAGUUAAAACCUAAAAUGAAAAGUCAGAAACAAACUGAUUUCUCUGUUGUAUCACCGAAUGAACAUGUACCUUGCCUCCUGUGAGAAUGGCAAUGUCUUGCAUGAUUGCCGCUGUAGUAUCUUGGCUUGUGAGUGGUUUGAUAAUGCAAACCUUCAUUCAAUUCAAAAACCAAUCUUCACACACACACACACACACACACACACAUAUAUAUAUAUAUGUGUAUAUAUAUAUAUAUAUAUAUGUAUGUAUGUAUGUAUGUAUGUAUGUAUAUGUAUAUUGUUGAAGUGUGAGUAGGGAUGGCAAUGGGCACCGCCCGCAGCGGGUUUGCCAUUACCAAACCCAAACCCGCACAAAAUUUAAAUUACCAAACCCACCCGCAACCCGCAGCGGGUUUUAAUUUUUUUUUAAAAACCCACCCGCAGCGGGUUUUAACAAUUACCAAACCCGCAAUGGUACCCGACGGAUUUUUUACGGGUUUCCGUAUUUAAAAUCACAAAUGUUUAAUAUAUAAAUUUAUAAUAAUAACCUCAAAUUCCAUAUAACAUACUCAAUUUUGUAUUUAAACAAUGUAAAUGAAAAAUUAAAAUUUCAAUAUCAAUCCAACACAAAUUCUCAAAUUUAAGUAUAAAUUACACAAAUUCAUUUAAAAAACACAAACUAGUAUCUAAAAAUAAUAAUUACAUUUCAUAUUAUCAUUUAAAACAAGCUCCGAGAGAAGAUAUUCAUUUCAUUCACCACCAUAAGCACCCAUCCAACACAAUGCCUAUAAUAAUAAUUAAGAUUAAUAUUUUUAAAUACUAAUUCGAAGGGAAAUGCCUUUAGUUUUCUUUAGUUUAUGACUUUAGAAUGGGAGAUGGGCCACAUACACACAUACACAACUUUGAACCUUUGGCUAUUUGGUAAUUUGAAUAAUGACAUUAUUUUCUUUAUACAUUUUUAUAUUAAAAUUAAAUUAAAAAUAUUUGGAAAAAAUAUUGUGGGUUUGGUGGAUAUCCAUGCGGGUAUCCACUGGAUAUAAGGCUAAUACCAAACCCACCCGCAUCCAUGUGCGUGUUUUAAUUUAUAAUAUUAAACCCGCCCGUAACGGAUAAAAUUACCCGCAGCGGGCGGGUUUUGGCGGGUGGGUUUGGGCGGGUUUGCGGGUAUAAUUGCCAUCCCUAAGUGUGAGCUUCGAAACUGGUUUCCAGAAGAUCAGCUAUCAUGUCGGUUUGAGGCUGUAAUAAUACACGACAUGUCAACUGAAAAUCAUGCAAGCCCGUAUGACAAAUUUGUUUUGUCAGCUACAUACAAAUAAGUAAAGCAUGCGCACAUCACGUGCUUCUACUUAUUCUAUACGGUGUUAAUAGCUGUCGUUUUGGGCUUAUUGUGGUCAUGAGGCCAGCACGUGUCCUCAAGUUUGUUAUUUUCAGUCAUUCAAGUGGGAAAAUUCUGGGAUUUGUUUGCUGGCUGACAACGGAUCUUUCUAGAGCUCCUUAAGCUUGUAUAUAUGGUCUUAAGGGAAGCGAAAUCAGCGUGUGAAAUGCUGGUUACUUCGUCUUUAAACUUGUAUCUUGUUCUCGGUGAUUGAAUAAAAUCUGCCGCUCUCUUCUUCAGUGGAUGUAGGCCAUCUCCAGGCCGAACCACUAUAAUUUGAGGCUCUUGUUUUGCUUGUUUCUGAUUUGUUUUUGUUUGAGCGUGUUUAAUUGCUGUUUCUAUAACAAAUAUCAGAGUGUUCAGUGAGGUUUUGGGGAUUCUUGGUUGGUUGAUUUCCAAUCGAGAUUCAACAUAUAUAUAUCUCUAUAUAUAUGAACAAUACUUAUUAUCAAUAAAAUACUUCAAGUUUUUAUUACCUUGCUUCCAACAUAAUUCCAAUCUAGCAUAAGAGAUCCCGCCUCUUCUUGAUCAACAUUCCGGGCAAUAAUUACUAAAGGUCGUCUAGUCUAUAAAAUAAAAAUGGAAAAAGAAGAAAAGGCAGAAGCAAACAAUCAACUGACCAAGUUGUUAAUAAAAAAACAUUAAACUUGUAUACGAUUUGUAUAUACAGAUCCUCUUACAUAGCUAGUUGAUGCAAUUGCUCGACAAAUGUCCUCAUUUGAGAUUUCACCCUUAUAUAUUAAUAUGAAUGGAUUUUUCAACACCUGAAAAAAAAAAUGAAACAAGUACUUAUUGUCUUAAGAACACAAUAAUCUAAUUGAUUACUAGUGUAUCAAAGUUUAGGGAUUUAUAUAUAUUGCAAUGCUUACACAUGUUUCCGUCUUCUUAUUGGUGAUGAAGUAUGGGAUAUAAGACCCCAAUCUAGCUUCAUUCUUUUAACAAACAAAGGGGAAAUGAUUGAAACCCUCUCUUGUUCAAUUUAAAAAGUAAUCGACACUACUAGAAAAAUGGUCUUUACUAACACUUGUCUUGUGACACUUUAUUAAAACGUAUCAGUAAUUAUGUAUAUAUUUGGGUCAUUUUCGUGUUUAAUAGAUAAGUAUCACAAAUUACUAAUUUUAUGGUGUCAGUUGAUUAAACAUCAGACGUUAUUGACACUAAAGUAUUAGUAAUCGAAAAAAAAAUCAAUUUUUGUUGUCAUUACUACUCAAACCCAAGGCAUCAAAACCAUGGCUUUUAAUGUUCAAGCAACAAACCAUCAAGCCACCGUGCGCGAGUGUACACUGCUCAUCGCACUUCAGUCUCUGAAUUUCUUGGUAGGUAAACUUUCAUCUUAUUCCAUUAAUUCAAUCUUCGACUGCCAUAAAUCUAACAAAUUAAAAGGAUUACGGUUAUAUCAUUUAAAUUCACCAACUUGGCAACUCCUUCUUCUUUCUUUCUAAUCUUUUCUCUAUUGGAAAUUUGUUGCAUUGUUCACUCCUCGUUAGAGAGAGAAAGAGGAGAGGGAGGGGUUGUGAUUGUGGUUGUAGCUGUGGCUUUGGGAACUAUAAGUUACGAACUGUUGGGGAUCAUCUCAUCUAAUAAGAGAAAGAGGAAAAUUUUAAAAAAUUUAAAAUAAUGGAUGAGGUGACUACAGUCGGAGAUGCAACGUUGUUGAGGAGUGGUCAAGCAACGUCGUUCUUGGAUUCUCCUCCAUCAUUGCUGUGGCUAUUCUUCCCUAAAAACCUCCCUCUGAUAUUUACUUUUCUCGCCUUUGCUCUUGCUUAGUUCCUCAAGAUCUUCAUCCCGUCCAUUUAAUUGUCUCCAUUUUUAUUGUAAUUUUUUCCAGCAUUUCUCUUUAUUUGAUUGGUUACAUAUUGCAAAUUUUGUUGAUUUGAUAUUUUCUCUGCAUAAAAAAUUAAAUUUUUUAAUAAAAAAAUAGAUUGACCUUUUCAUAGGGGUUGGCGCUACAAAAUGCCCUUUUUUUCAUUGUGAUUAAUCUCUAAUUCAAAGAAUUAUGGAUGUAUGAUAUAAUAAAUGUUAAUUGAAUAGAAAUUUAGUGUAGGCUAAUGUAAUUAAGGAGUUGUUCUUUUGAAAUAAUAAUAUCUCAUAAUUUUUUAAUUUGAAAUAAUAAUAUCUCAAUUAUUUUUUAUGUUUAUUCUAUAUGUUUUUCUAGAUGCUCAGGUAUAAAGAAAAGAGAUGGGAUUCUAAAAGGAUGCUUGAUUUGGGUGGAAUGCCUUGGUUGCAUUUUGCUACUAUGUCGGCUCUAACAGUAGCUAUUUGUAUUUAAGAGGGAUCAGGAAGUUCAUCUUUUACCAUCGCAAUGGUCUUGGCUUGCAUUGUAUGUUCUUUUCUAACUUUAUUAGUUGUCUCUUAUGGACAUGUGUGUAGUAGUGUGUGUGUAUGUGAGUGGGUGAGUGUAUAUAUGAUCAUCAAUUUCAAUAAAACAUGCAUGAUAUAUGAUAAUUUUUCAGCUUAUUGAAUAAUUACUUCUUAGUCUUGACUUGCUUUCUCUAUUUUUUGUUCCUUUUUCUUCUCAGAAAAAUAUAUACAUUAUCGUAGAUUCAUCUGCCAUGUGCAGACUAAGACAGCCCAACAUGAGGUUAAAGUGUUAACUUGUGAUUUUUAUUUAUGAAUAUAGUGAUAUUUUUGGUAAAAAGGUAUUAAGAUUAAUGAUAUAAGGCCUUUAUUUGUAAAGUCUAGGUUUGUGAAAUUCAAAUAUGAAUUAAAGAUUGCCUUAGAAAGAUAGAGAAUAUGCAGAGCUUUAAGAGGUAGAUCUCUUAAUUGCCUUGAACUCUAUAUUUAUUGUGAAUAUUCUGGAUUAGUAGCUCCAUCAAUAUAAUGCAUGAAAUGUUUUAUUAUUCUAGUAGAGUAUUUUGGAAUGAGUUGACACUAAUUGCAUUAUGCAAAAAGUGUGUAAUUAUCAAGAGUUAAAUGUUUUACUCUCACACUUAGGCUUGGUGGCUAAAAGACAUAAUUGCAAGCCUUUUUUUUGAAAAAAAAAAUACUAUGUUGUAUUAGAUAUUAAAUUUUAUUAUGAAUUUGUUUUAGCUGGAAAAUCAUUGUUUUUUAUAUAAUGAGAAAUAAACACACUUUCUUGAAACUAGAUGUUAUACUGAAAACUUGAAUGCUAUAAUAUGCUCUCUCACUCUCUCUUAUUCAUAUAUAUAAGAAAAUGAAUUCAUCAUCACAUUUUUUUAAAUUUAUAUCUAUAGUUAAAUAUAUUCUACCUUAUUUCUAAUCAAAUGAGCUGCAACAUUCUUGUUCUCUAAUUUUCCUUUAAGAUAAUUGAGUUUAUAUGUUCAUAACUUAUGAAUAUUUUUACUUUCGAACAAACUAUGUUUAUUUCUAUUAAGUUUUGUCUCUGUAUUGCUUGUUAAUUUAUUUUGCAACUGUUCGAAUUUGGCAACCAAUUUCUUUUCCUUUUUCUUUUAUUUGUUUGCAUAUAUGGUUAACAUGUUUAAAGUGUUUUUUCUUCAACCUAUAUCCCUAACCCAUCAAAUUCAUCGACUGAAGAAGUUGUAUGUGAAUGAAGAAGUUGUCCGUGAUAAUGCAUGAUUGCAGUACUUAUGCUCAUGGAGUGAAAAAUAAUAAUCCUUCUAAAUUUAGCUUUUAGAUUUGGUAAAUUUAGCCCUUAAAUUUAGUUACGAGUAGAAUGAAUUUGAUUGGAUAAUAGCAGUUUUAAAGUAUUUGAGAUUAUUCAAUUAUAAGAAUAAGUUGUCUUGUAAUAAGACGUCUUGUGUAUUGAAGUAUUUGGAUUGUGUAAUAUAUAUUGAUAAUAUUAAAAUGUUAUGAAAGGUUUUGCAAUAUAAAUUGAUUUUUGUUGUUAUUUCUUACCACUUUUUAAUUUUAUCAACAAAUCAAUGGGCAACAUGUCAUUUUAUAUUAUUAUUUUUUAAAUAAUAAAUAAAAUAUUGAUACCAGUAACAGUAAUCACAAACACUAAUAUAAUAUUGUAAUAUUCUAAUACUAUGGUGUCAUGAUUUUGGUGAUAUUAUAGUAAUAGUAAUCACUAACACUAUACUCGUGACACUACAAAUAAGUGUCACUAUUUUUUUGACUACUAGAUUACCGACACAAUUAGCAAGUGUCACUAAAAGUAAUUACUGACAUAUUCUAAUGUCAGUAAAAACCAUUUUUUUAGUAGUGCGAGACCCCACUAUAGUUUUCAAUCAAUUGAAACUCCACUAGUGUUAAAAAUUAUAACGACCAAAUCAAAUUUCUAAGUCUUUCAAAACUUUAGACUAACAAUUUUUUCAACAAAAACAUAGUUUUAUCAUAUUUUGAAAGUCAAAAUUAAAUAACUGAAGUUACAACAAUUGAUUUUUCCGUUAAAAUUUUAAUGGUUUCAAUGGGUUUUAAAACUUGGGAUGGGUUUCCAUUCUUUUAAACAAAUAAUUCAACAAUCAACUUACAAAGACAAUGAAUAAACGCUCAUUUCUAAAUCUUCCUAUAGCCUUAGCUACAACCUGUCCAAUCUUUCUGUCACUGUUUGCUGCUGUUGUUCCAACCUUUAUGUAACAAAAGUACCAGCUUAUUGUCAUAUCAAAUAAUUUCAUAUGACAAACUAAAGUAAGCGAAUUAAAACUCAUAAAGUAAAUUCAUGAACCUGAGCAAUUUCGUCAGCUGAGCGAACCACUCGUGCUCUCCCAUGUAAGGCCAUGUUUGGUUGACAAGAGAUGAGUUGAAUUUAAAAUCCUUAAUAAUUUCUUUUGUUUGGUUGGAAUAAACUGACCUGAAAUUAUUCUCCAUAGACAUUUAAUUUUUGUUGUAGUAAGGAAUUCAGUUUCUUCUAUGAGGUGGUAGGAAUUCUAAUUCCAUAACUUAAAAAUAUUUAAAUUGUCAUUUGUAACUCUAUUAUAUUUUUAAAUUUCCAAUUUUACCCUUACUUAAAAUUUACAUGAUGAAACCCUAAAUUAUUUCCUAUCUUACGAUUUCUCCCUAACUAGCAGCCCCCUCUUUGAUUUUCAUCCAUUUGCACAACCGAUGCCAUCGAUUCAUAUCCGUUGCUAUUGAUUCAUCUGAAAAUAAGAAGAACAAGAUGAAAACAAAGGUAAAUGUUGUGAUUUCUUAGAUUUAUUUAGUUGUUGAUAUGUUGAUUUUUUUUCAUUUGUUAAGUUUAUGAUUCUGUUUGGUUUCUGAGAAAAUUAUGGCUGAGUUAUUUUUGUUCCGUUUGUUUGUUGAAACUAGACUUGAUUAGUUUUCUUAAUUAACUAAUGAUGGCUGAGUUUAUUGAACUAGCCUUGAUUUGUUUGUUUGUUGAGUUUAUGAUUCUGUUUGGUUGCUAAGAAAAUUAUGGCCAAGUUAUUUUUUUUUCGUUUGUUUAUUGAACUAGCUUUGAUUAAUUAAUUAUGGCUAAAUUUAUUGGAGUAUCCUUGAUUUGUUUGUUUGUUGAGUUUAUGAUAAUGGGAAUUAGUACUGCUGAUGUUCAUCUUUGAGUUUGUUAAGUGCAUAAUUAUUUCAAUUAGAUAAUGUUUUAAAGAAUUUGAUGUGCUUUGCCAUGUAACAAGUUCCAAUUUUCAUUGUGCCAAUCAUAAACAAAUCUAAGGCUAUCAGGUAACAAGUUCUAGGUUUCUUCCACUGCAUUCUUUCAAAUUUUAUCAUUUUGCAUUUAUGAAAUUAUAUAAACUUAUCUGUCUGAGCUUCCCAUCUUCAAUUUUUCUUCUACUGCAUCAUUAUUAUGCUUGAUGUGGCAAUUAUCUCUAUAACUUAAUCAUAUUUACUUUUGAUUUUAAAAUUUAUAAUGUUGAGUGUGGACCUCCUUCAUUGGCAAUUACUAUUAGCUUGUAACUUAAGCAUUUACAUUUCUCAAAUUAUAUAAACUUGUCUCUCUGAGCCUCCCAUCUUUAAUUUUUCUUCAUUACGAAGCAGAUGCCAUGUGAUCCUUUUGAUGAAGUAUUUGAUGCUGUAAAUGAGGUGGAAUCACUUGAAGUAGCAUGAUAACUAAUAUAGAAACCUCAGAAGAGUGGAAUACAUGAAGGAUAAAUUUAGCACAAAAGAUGUAUCAUUAAUGGAGAGCAAGUAGACAGAACACAUGAAAACUCCUUAAAAAAAAAUUGUUAUGUUUUGUUAUUACAUUUGCUGGAUUGUAGAUGUAAUAUUUGUUUUCGACUUCGGAGAUUUUGUAUUCUGGUACAUCUUUCUUAAUGGUUAAAUGUGAUAAUGUGAUAUCGAUGUUUUUUAUUUUAUUUUAUCACUUUAUCCAUAGCUCUAUUUCUGGUUUGCCUCAAUUGAGAUUUGGUGUUCUUUACUGUUAAUUUUUAAAGUUAUAUAAUGUGUAUUACAGCAAGAUUACCAAUGUUACUUAAUUUUUGUUGCUUGAUGCUUAAAGUUUCUAGUUUUGAUGGUUGAAAAAUUAUUGCAACUACUUUAGUCUUUAAACUGGAGAUAGUGGUGGUGUUUGUGUGAUCAGCUUGUAGGACCAAGUGUUUCUGUUUUUUGGUUAGUAAAGUUCAUAUCUUUAUUGGCCUCCUCAAUUAAAAAGAAUAAAUAAAUUAUCUUGUGUGCAUGCUUUGCUUCCUACUCUUUAUUGGUUUAUUUACUUGCAUGUUUAUUACUUAUGAUUUUGUCUUCCGUUAGGCAGUCCUUGGAUUUCUAAUUAAUUUUUAUUUUUUUCAUUUUCUGCAUAUAGUUAUUUUGAUUUUUUUUAAUUGUCAAAAUUUAGAAGCAUUUAAGUUUUAUAAGGUUAUGUUCUACGGCACCUGCACUUGAUCUUUGCUAUUUCAUUAUUGCUAUUAAUUAUAUAUAUAUAUAUAUAUAUAUAUUCCUUUUCUUUGGGAUGGAAGUUUAUAUUUGAUUUCUAUCAUUGAUAGUUCAAUAUUAAGUCAAAGGAUAAUUUUUUUCAACAAAAAAAAAAUUAUAAUUCCUUUCCCUAUGAAAUUUUAUGUCAAACCAAACAAUUAAAUUUAAUUUCACAAUUCUUCUCCUCUCUUUUUUUCUCCCUUCCUUUCUAUUUAACUCCUCUCUUUUCCUCUUAUUUCUUCAAAUCAAACACCACCUAAGUGUUUUUCAACUGUAGAUGUUGCCAAAUGAAUCCCAUUUAUUAGAUCAUUGGCAUUUGCACCGGCUAGUAAUGCCUUGAAUCCAUCAUCGUACAUUGCACGAGCUAUGACAAGCGUAUAUUUAAUGCCUGGAAAUAGAAAAAUCAAAACCUUCAGAUAAGUUAUCUGUUGUAAUUGGUGUGCUAAAGAAUCCAAGCAAACCAAAAUUGCAGCCCAAGAUCUUUAAAUCAAACCAAACAAGAUGCUUACGACAAUGGACCAGGAUUAAGUCUAAUCAACUUUAAUCAAUCAAAAACAAAGAUGAAAAUCAAAGCAAGAAGUGAAAGAAUCAAGAACAAGAUGAUUAACGUGGUUCAGCUGAUUUGCAUCAGCCUACAUCCACGGAGAAACAAUACAAUUAGCUUCUAUUGAUUAUCAAGAAGAAUUACAGAGCUUUACAGAGCAUAUCACAUAUAUCAAGAACAAUCUAGAUGUGACUUCAACUUCUUUCUAUAUAGCUCACAGCUUCUCUCUGUUUGUUACACCAGAAACAACUGUUUCAACAGCUCUAUAACUGACUUAAAACGAAGCCCAUAAGCUCACGUGACGUGCACGUAUAAUAACAUAUUUUAAUAACCUCGUUUGCACACGUGCAAGGCUUAUGACUUGUUAAAAUAUAAAUGGCAUCUCGUCAAGUCGUUUUAGUGAGUAAAUAUAAAACCCAUCAAAACGCUAUACCCCAUGUUAUUUCACUUAGACAAAACAAACCCUAAAACGCAAACACUCAUUGUCGUUUUGAUUAGCUCUGAUUUGCUUCACCAAACACUCAACAAUUCUCCACCUUGAACAAAUCAACCUGAUCAUGAUUUUUCCUCGACUUGUGUAUAUCAACAGACACAUAGACCAGCCAAGUUCAAGCAAAACUUGAGCCAGAUUGCAAAUACCUUUAGACUAUUAUAGUUUGCUGGUUUACCAUGCUACCAUUUAAAUGAGAUUUUGUAAUCUAGAGUAAUAGAAAGAUUAAGAUUCACCAAGUAACAUUCAGUUAGAAGAGUUUCCGCCCACAAACUUUUAGGGAGUUGUGAUUGAACCAACACACAUCUAACUUUAUCCAUCAAAGUCCUAUUCAUUCUCUCUGCUAACCCAUUUUGCUAAAGAGUUAGGCUCAUUGUUUUAUGCCUUGCUAUGCCUUCAUUUUGCACAGUAGCUGUUAAAUUGUUGAUUGCAAAACUCAAGACCAUUAUCAGUCCUGAGUUUCUUCACCUUCUUUCCAAUUUGAUUCUCAACCAAGGACUUCCAUUCUCUGAAUUUUUCAAACACGUGAUCCUUGUGCUUCAACAUAUAAACCUAAACUCUUUUUGAGACGUCAUUAAUUAUUGACAGAAAAUAACUAUUACCACCUAGUGAAACUAUUUAAGCAGGUCCCUUAAAGAUUUAAGUGUAUAUACUCUAAUAUUCCAUUGGUAGUGUCAGAGGAGAUCUUAAAGAUAUUUCUAGUUGACUUUUCGAAAACACAGUCCUCACAAAAAUCCAGAUCUGAGAUAUUUUCAUCUCCAAGCACCUAUUGUUUCUGCAAGUCCAUUAGAUCCUUCACACUCAUAUGCCUAAGUCUCAAGUGCCAGAGUUUAGUUCUAUCUUUUUCAAACCCAACAGAGACACUAGACAAACUUGUAAUAGCUUCCCCAUCUAAGACAUAUACCCCUUGUACCUUUCAUUACAAUUCUGGAUCCAUUAGUAAUCAAUAGCCUUCCAAAUUCAAGCUUAAUACUAAACCCAAUAUGAUCAAUAACUUCAAGAGAAAUCAAGUUCCUUUUUAGAUCAAGAACAUACCUAACUUCUGUAAGUUCCCAAAUGGUCCUAUCAUGUAGUUUAAGACUCACAUUUUCCAUACCUAUGACUUUACAUACUGCAUUGUUUCCCAUCAUUACAUUCCCUUCACUAAUUUCUUAAUAUUCAGAAAAAUAAUUCUUAUAAGAGCACAUAUGAAAGGUACAUCCAGAAUAAAAAAAUCCAUUUACCUCUCUGUAUGUCUUCAGUGGCCACACAAACUCCUGCUGACUUAUAUCCCUCUUCUUUAACUGUUGUUGUAUCACCAUGUUAACCUUUUUUCUUGUUCUUCUUCUUAGGGAAAUCUUUCUUAAAGUACCCCUCUUUAUGACAUUGAAAACACCUCAAAUUCUGAGGCUUUGUCUUAUUCUUUUCUGGUUUCUAUUUUUUCUUUCCAUCAUUCUUGUUAGUUUUGCAUUUUUACAAUCAAACCUUCACAAUUUUCCACGUCCCCUAACUUUUGUUGCAACCCCUUUAUAUUUAAGGCUGCUUUAACUUCAUCUAAAGACAAUGUUUGUCUCCCAUACAUGAGGGCAUAUACAAAAUUGGAGUAUGAUUAUGGCAGUGAACUCACUAGGAGCAAAGCUUUACCUUCAUCAUCCAACCUUUCAUCUAUUGUCUCCAAGGUGUCACAAACUUUAUUGAACUCAUCAAUGUGAUCAUCAAGAGAGGAUCUCUCAACCAUUUUUAAGGUAAAUAUCCUCUUCUUGAUAUACAACCUGUUUGUAAGAGACUUUGUUAUGUAUAAUUUUUUAAGUUUUGCCCAUAGCUCAGCAACUAUUUUUUCUUUGGCAACCUCUCUUAUAAUAGAGUCACCAAAACUCAAAAUAAUGGUACUUUUGGCUUUCUUGUCGAUCUUAGUAUUCUGCUCAUGUGUUUUUUUAUGAUGAAACUUCUUUUCUUUUCUUCUUGGUAACAAGUUUAUUUGCAUCUCCCAACCCUUCUGUUAUCAACAAGGCCUCAAUUUUCACCUUCCACAUAUUAAAGUCUUUUUUCCUAUUAAACUUUUCUAGAUCAAUUUUUGUUGUUGCCAUACUAGGAUCUAAUUUUCAAGACGGAGCUCUGAUACCAAUUGUUGCAAUUGGUGUGCUGAAGAACCCAAGCAACCCCAAAUUGCAACCCAAGUUUUUUGAAUUAAACCAAACAAGGUGCUUACAAGAAUAGACCAGGAUUAAGUCUAAUCAACUUUAAUAAAAUAGAGACAAAGAUGAAAAUCAAAGCAAAAUGUGAAAGAAUCAAGAAUAAGAUGAUUAACAUGGUUUAGCUUAUUUGCAUCGCCUACAUUCAUGGAGAAACAAUACGAUUAGCUUUUAUUGAUUAUAAAAAAGAAUUACAGAGCCUUACAAAGCACAUGCAUAGAUAAAAAAGAAUCCAAAUGUGACCUCAACUUCUCUCUAUAUAGCUCACAACCUCCCUCUGUUUGUUACACCUGAUGUGCAUGUAUAAUAACAUAUUUUAACAACCUCGUUUGCGCACGUGCAAGGCUUAUGACUUGUUAAAAUAUAAACAGCAUCUCGUCAAGUUGUUAUAGUGAGUAAUUAUAAAACCCAUCGAAACGUUAUACCCCAUGUUGUUUUACUUAAACAAAACCAGCCCCAAAACGCAAACACUCAAUGUCGUUUUUAUCAACUCUGAUUUGCUUCAACAAACACUCAACAUAACCAUUGCCUUUUUUAUUGGAGAUUUUAAAUAGCAUUGACUAGCCAUUUUUUCACCUUGAACAUUGGACCAAUCAUCUUCAAUUACAACACAUGUUGGGUGUUCUAUUGAACAAGGCAUAAUACUUUGAUCUAUGUCAUAUUCACAAUCUUAUGUGACCAUUAAACGGUGAUACUAGACGAUGCACACACGAGUGUACAGACACACACAUAUAUAUGUAUGUAUGUAUGUAUGUGUGUGUGUAUAUGUAUAUAUAAAAUUGAAGAAAGUAAUGAAGGAAAUCAUAUGCACUAGAACUGACACGACCUGCCCCGAUAUAGAUGUCAGAUUUGAGGCGAAUCGUGCGGACUAAUAACUAAAACUUGUGGUGCAAAUUUAAUUCAUGAAAAUAUGUAUAUAAAUUGGCCUUUCCUAUAAACACAUAACAACCUCUGUGCCUUUUCUGAAACCAUAUAUGAAUUUAAAACUUGCAUAACUUAUGUCUUAUUGUACAUACUGACAUUACAUGUAUAUUUACAUAUAAAACAAAAGCAACAUAAACGUGCUCAAAAUGCAAGACAUGUAGCAAUGCGUCUCGUGGCCCAACCUCAAUUAACUAGAACUGAUCUGCACGAAAUCUUGCGGAAUCCUGAGUGGAAAGGGGUAAAUAGGAAAAUAGUGAGCUUGCGGCUCAGUGAGUGGAUGUAAUAAUAAUAAUAAUAAUAAUAAUAAUAAUAAUAUAGUGUACUAGUGUUUAUGCAUAAUUAUGUGGCAUAACUCCACAUUGAACAUCAUACACUAGCAAACAUGGAAUUCAUACAUACAUACAUCACAAAACUGCACCAAAUAGUACCCAGGGAAAAUAACUCUCAAUACUCACCGGGAUCAUCAUCGCACAAGUAGAGUGGGGAAAACCUCUCAAUACCGAGCGUAAUUAAAUUAUCUCACACGGGUAGAGUAACCUAACUCUCGAUACGCAUGCACAGAGUCUACGGGGACGGGUACAUAUAUGAUGACUAGUAAUCACAUCUCAUGACUCAAUCAAACAUAUAAUAUGCGUACAUAUAAUCAUAACAUGAUAGUAAAUCAUAAUAUCAAAUAUAAAUGCUUCAUGGAAUACAUAAUAGUAAUAAUAGUAUCCACUCACAGAUCCUGUUUCACUCUGGGAUUCGUUGGGGCUCUUGUACGUUCCUGGAUUCUCGAGUUCCUCCUAAAAUACAUGGUUCAAAAAUUAACUGUUAGAACUGAUAUAAAAACUUAUACGUAUCAUGCAAACUGUAAUAUAACUGCUCAAAUUUCAUAAAUCUAUUACCCACUAAUCCAAUGGAUAUAAUUCUAACUAUCCAAUUUUAUUUUCUGUAACUUUUCUUUUCAAUUUCUCUCUUCCCCACUCUCAUCUUAUUCUUUUUCCUUCUUCAUUUUCUUUUCUUAUUUUCUUUUUCUUUUCCUUCUCUUUUCUCUCGGUUUCACUUUUUUUCUUCUCUCGGACUUGCUUUGUUUUUGCUCUUGGUUCUCAAAUUUAGUAAAUGAAGCAAUUCUCAAAAUGUUUCCUUUUAUAUAGCCAUCGAUUGGGCCACCAAAUGCAAGCAAGCAGCUCUCACUUUAAAUAAACAUAAUCACCACCUCAAGCAAAUCGGAGGAACAUGCACGCGCCAAGCAAAGAGGUGAAGCAAGCAGCUUGUAUUGCAUGCAAUGGGCAGCUGGCCACUUAUUUUCCUAAACACGUUUGGCUUUUUUUUUUUUCCUCUAAGCGGUGCAUGGCAAGCGGUGCAUGACAGGAACUUUAUCCCAAAAGUAAUAAAUAUAUACAUGAAUAUAUGUGGUAUAUAAGUUAAUAGAAUGAGAACCCAACAAAAAAAUAAAAUAAAAUAAAAUAUAUAUAUUCCAUUAAAUAAGGGCCAAACUAAAAUAUAGGAAAAAUAUAUACUCCAAUACAGUUCAUAUAUGUAUUCUGUGAAAAUUAUAUACAAUCAAGUUGAAGCUAGAGGGUGAUGUAGUAUUACGAAAAUAGUAGAGAAAAGCGGUAAAAGCAUAAAACAAUAGAAGAAAGUGUCUCUCUCAUUAUAUAUACACAAAGGUAGCCAUUAUGUAUGAUCAAAGCAAUGCAACAAUAAAUAUACAAGGAAAACACAAAGGUAGCCAUUAUGUAUGAUCAAAGCAAUGCAACAAUAUAUAUACAAGGAAAAUGGAUAUUGCAGCAAGUCAUGAUACUUCAAAUAUGCCUCUUUAAUUUAAGAUUGGUGACUCACUUUAAAAGGGCUUUCAUGGCUACCAAAAGUGAUGUCUGUGCUGCAGGAACAGUACUUAAUCUUCUAGAACUGGCAACCUGAUAGUAUAUUACAAUUCCAUUAAAGCUACUGUCAUAACUGCCAAAAGAAAAGUAUACUAGACUUCUAAGUAUACUAGAACAUGGGAUAUCAUGCAUUUGCAUUGUAUAUAAGUAUGUGUGUAUUUUAGUAUAUGAAAAGGACGGGGUUUGCUAAUUGAGUUUUGUACUCAUUAUAGUUUAUUGUAAUUUCCUAAGGAUUUUGAUUGAUUCAUGAUGAGUGAGGAGAAGUACUUCAAAUGGGGAUUGUAGAUGGUUUGACAAUUUUAAAACCUUCCGCUGUUUGAGGAUUGGAUUUUUAUAUAUUGUAUAGAGAUGCUUAAGUUUAUUCGUAAGUUGUAUCUAAAGACCAUCCUCGAAUUCCCUCCAGAGUUCGGGGCCAGUCAUUACAAUCCUAUCAUUUUUUCCUUUUCUCUUUGUUAAAUAUGAAUGAUGAUAUAGCUUUUAUUAAUCAACUCAUGUAUUCUAUUGGUCACACUUUCUUUUUAUUAGAAUUUUUGAGCCAUUCAACUUAGCGCUGAGAAUUAGAUAGAAUUUGGAUAGAUCUGAUCUAAACAAUUCAGAUAUUGUCUUAUAUCUAGUCUGAUACAAUUUUUUCUAUUCGAUUGAAUUUUCUUCAGAUCGGAUUGGAUUUGGGUUAAUUCAAACAAUCGGAUCGGAUUGCACUGCUUAUUAAAAAUAUAUAUAUAUAUAAAAUUAACAAUAGAUUUCAUGGAUUUUAUGUGAGAUUUGUCAAAAGGAUCCCAAAUGCGAACUUAAUCUGAAUCUGAAAACACAAAUUCAUCCUAUCCAAAUCUAAUCCAAUUUAUUUCUAAUUGGAACAGAUUUGAAGUUCGGAUUGAAUUCAGCUAGUUUUUUUCCCAAUUCAAACAAUCCGAAACCCAAUCAGAUUCAUACAAAUCCGAAGUUGCCUAGCCCUAAUUCAAAUAUCAUGUAAUUUGUGCCAUUUAAUUUACUUCCUCCACAGUCACAAGAAUGGAAAAGUCUUGAGUGUUAAAUUAGAUUUUUGUAAUUUGAGUGAACCCACCGGGGCAGCCAUUAAACUGUAAGCAAGCGGCCACAGCUUUAUUCAGGUUUGACUGCCGGCAUGGCACCAUCGGCUACCGGUGGUGGUCACCAACUAGGGUCGGCGACUUCCCCCAGUCACGGUAACCUCUGCAACAGCCGCCUCCACGUGCAAACCCAAACAUUCGACUUUUGUCUCCAAACACCCCCGUGCCGCUGCUGCCAUGUUAGCCACCGCUGACACCCCCCACAUGCAGCGACCUCCCCACUUGACCAUGCCAACAGCAUGCAGCCUCCCCCAACGUCACAAAACCCGAUUGCUCAUGACUCCCAAAACCGUAGAUCACAGCUUUCUCGUCUUUUAGGCGCAGCUUGCCGUCGCUGUUUCUUCUGCCAUCGGUGAUGGCUUUUUAUCGCCGCUGACCAAUCCCUCCAUGAACCCCAUGCAGCCCUGACCUCGCUAACCUCACAACAACCACCAACGUAUGGUUUACUCUCUCAACAAUUGCAGCAGCCGUCAACCUCAUCCAACCCCAACUCCUGUGCUUUGCACUCCCAAACCGUGAUCCAUCCUCCUGUGGCUCCCACCGGUGCUCUCCCCUCACAGCCGAUGUCCUCCCCAUUUGAAGUGUAACGUUUUCCUGAAAAGUUGGUUGCAUGCUCUUGAAAAUCAGAACUGUCUUGUAAAGUGUAAUGUUUUCCUGCAAUUAUUCUCAUGAUAAUAUCAAGUCCAGUGCCAUCAAUCCAGUGCUUCAUCUCCACUGAAACCUUAUGUGAACUGCUACUUUAACGCUUUGAUUUAAGCCUUCACUUCAGAAGCUCAAUCGCGGCCAUCUUACGAGACUCUCGCCAGUAGUUGCCGUAUGGGCUGGCAGCAAUGGCCAAAAAAUUGUACCCUAAGAGAUCCAUCGCCAUUGAUCUGGGGCGACUUGCAAAGGCUUUGUCGUUGGUGGUGAAACAUUCUUUAGCAAUUUCCCAAUUGCUGACCACUAAAGCUCGAUUCAAGCCCAUUUUCAUAGUGAAUAUUGGACCUUAUUUAUCAGCCACGUCGCCCAAAAGUCUAUGAGUUGCCUCUUGCCCUCCGAAGAGAUGAAAAUGGCACAAUCAAAGGCCAUGCUCCCCCAGCUACUGGUGCUUGAUGAGGAGCUUGUUAUGACUUGUUUUUGACUUAGUCCAAGCGAUCUCUUUUAUUUAUCUUUUAUAUCUCUUAACGUUCAAGUUUGUUUUGCAUUUUUUUUUGGUUCCUUUUUUCAUGGCUUGUAAUUUGGUGGCACAGCUGUUAUAUAAAGCUUGCUUGGCAGUGAAUAAAGCAGUGAAUAACAAUAAAAACAUUUGGCAGCAUAUUGUUGUCUUGGGAGGUUUUGACCCCUCGAAGAGUCAAUUCAUUUUUUUUUCUUGAUUCAUCCUUUAAAUAUUUUUUAAGUUUGAAACCAAGGAGUUGUAACAUCUUUGGUAUCAGAGCCGGCUAUGAUGGAGGAUCGAGUGAAGAAAAUAGAAGAAACCUUGGGUUCUUCGUCACUUGGACAGCAGGAGUUAUCAACACAGCAGUUUGAGUUUGCUACUCAAAUGCAAAUCUUGACUCAACUGUCUGAACAAAUGGAGAGGAUAAGUUAGAAAGUUUCCAAUAAAUAUCCAGAAAUUGGUGAAACUUCCAGAGACCGCUAUCAAGAUCGAAGGAGUCAUGCCACUCCUCCAAGAGCUAGAGGUUCUUCCAAUACUUUCAUUCCCAAAACUAUGAAGCUGGAUUUUCCAAAAUAUGACGGCACUAAUGAUCCAACGCCAUGGCUAUGUAAAGCGGAGAGGUAUUUUGUGCUUCAUGAAAUUUUAGAAUCUAACAAAGUUUCUUUAGCCUCUUUUUACUUAGAUGGAGAUGCAGAGCUAUGGUAUCAAAUGCUGGAACAAGAACUUCUUUAUGUUUCAUGGGACGACGUCAGGCAUGGGAUUGUAGCUAGAUUUGGACCCAAUCAGUUUGAACAUCAGUUCAGCGAAUUGAUCAAGUUACGGCAACAGGGGUCGGUGUUGGAAUAUCAAGGAAGGUUUGAGAGGUAAUUGGCAAGGGUGGGAGUUCUACAGCAAGAUUGUAAAGUGAGUUGUUUCUUAACCGGAUUAAAAGACAGCAUUCGCACUGAUGUUUAACCACACCGUCCCACAACACUUACCAUGGCUAUUGGGUUAGCCAAGCUAUACGAGGCUCGUGAAUUGGCUCAACGGAAGACGACAGCAACUCAGCAAAGAACAUUAAACCAGCAGCCAAAAGUUGGGAUUCAAAAUAACAAUCCUCCUAGUGCACCAAUGGUAAGAAAAAUGACGCUUGCAGAGCUUUCCGAGAGGAGAAAAAAGGGACUAUGCUUUCAUUGUAAUGACAAGUACAAUCUUGGCCAUAAAUGUGCAAAUUUUUUUCAUAUUGAAGCUUGUUGGGAAGAUAAUGAUGAAGAUGGUGAUGUCCAGAUGGAGGUAGAUGAUGCAUGUGAAAAUGCUACACCAAAAAUAUCACUACAUGCCAUGGCAGGAGAUCAAGCACCAGAAACAAUGCGAGUAUGGGGAAGCAUCAAGGGAAAAUCAAUUGUAAUUCUUAUUGCCUCCGGCAGCACUCACAACUUCAUUAAUGCUGAAGCUGCACAACGAGUAAAUCUCAGCCCAAAUGCCAACAGUAAGCUGAAAGUUAUGGUCGCCUCCGGUGAGCAAUUGGUGAGUUCUGGAAAAUGCACUCAAGUAAAUUUUAAAUUACAAAAAAUACCCUCAUGGUACUUAGGACCCAAUGAUUGAGAAUGUUGGGACUUAUUCAAUGGGAUUUUGAAACGCUUCAGAUGCACUUCGACUUGAAUGGCAGAGGAGUAAUUUUGUAUGGUAUCGCAAAUAAAAAGGUGCUUGAUAUAGCUCCAAUUAUUAACCCUCAAAAAAGGCAAACUGAAGUUAUAUUGCAAAGCAUGGAGGGAAGGGAGCAGUGUGUCACAAAAGAUUUGAUUCCCCCACAAAUCCAAGAACUCUUAAAUUCCUACCAAGAUGUCCUCCAAGAACCACGAGGCUUACCUCCCAAACGUAAAGAUGAUCAUCAUAUUCCACUCCUUCCAGGAUGUGGCCCUAUAGCGGUACGACCAUAUCGCUAUCCUCAUUUCCAAAAAAAAAUGACAUUGAGCAUAUUGUAAAGGAGCUAUUAGAAGCCGGAGUGAUCCGCUCAAGUACCUGUCCAUAC
rnacentral:lncRNA from 1 species